rnacentral:lncRNA from 1 species
GCUCCCUCCCCUUGACUGCAUAUUGAUCUAAACAUACAUAUUCAUAUCAAAAUACAUGAAAGGAAGCUGUCACUUUAUUCAUUAAAUAGAUGCUUCAAGUAGCUAUAACAAUAGCAGCAUGCGAUAUUGUUUAGUUUGCUUGGAUGAGGUGGGCGUCAAUGUCUUUGGAGAUAUCUUGAACCAAUUGCAGUAGAGUCUCGGGGUCCGCAAUCCCAUCGUGCAGCUUCUCGUAUUCCAAAGUCCAGUGCACUACGCUGCCACUAUCCUCGCUCUUGGGCGAAACUAGAAUCGUGGCUACGAAGCUCUUGUACUCUUCCAUUAGAUCUCCUUCGAUCACUCUGAAAGUGAUCAAAUUCUUAUCAGGGUCUACCGCUUCCACUACUUCCUUUGCCUUUUUAGCCUUUCCAUCUAAACAAACAACCUUUUUUCUUUAACAAAACAAAAAGAGCAACAAAUCAAGUGAUAAGCAUGAAAAGAAAUUGGGUUUAUUAUGUUAUAUCAUACCAUGCACAUAACUCCAGUGGACAAUGGUACCGACUUUCCCCCAUUUACCUUCAUGUAGAUCGCAUCCUUGAAUCUUGUCAUAGCAAGUAUGGUGCACGUGAUGUGGUUUGUGGGCGAACAUUUCAUGAAACUGCUCGGGAGAAGCCUUAAUAUCUACAUCUGCCUCAAGCUUACCUGUAAGAGUUGAAGAUGCCAUCGUAUCACCAACAAUGUUUGAUGUGGGAGUGGUUUGUUUGAUGUUUAGGCUAGGCAUUAUUUAUAGACCGAUGUCAAUGUCUAAAGCAAUAAUCCUCUCCAAAUGAUACUACUCAAUUUCCUAUUCGUUCACCAAUUAUCAUUUAACAUAUAUUUAAUUUUGCACACUUGGUUUACUUAUUGAAUCUUCUUUGAACCAAAAAUAUAAAAGUUUUAUUUUACUCAAAUUUUAUUCAUGAAUAUUUAAAAUAUUGAAUCUUGAAUUCUCUUAUUUGAUUCUUUUUUUAUGCUUUUCAUAUCCGUUUUACAAAUUAUGUUCAGGGUUUAUGACUACUCUUUCCAACAAUGUCAUUUUCGAGAUUCAAAUCUACAUUCUCUUGGGAGUAUAAUGUGAUUUACCACUGUGCCCAAUAUUUGAUUUAAUGAACAUAAAUAAUUAACGUUUUAAUAAAUGGAAAAAAUAUUUUAUGUAAAUAAAUAAGUUUGAACAUGGUACCAACAUUAUACUAAACAUAAUAAAAACAAAGGGCAACAUGGCAAAAUUCAAAAAAUUAAAAAAAAAACACAACAUUAUACAUUGCAUUAUCAAAAUAUGUUAAAUUCAAAAUUUAUAUAAAUUUGUGAUACCUAAUUGUACAAAUUGAUCAUUUUAAUGUCUAUAUGGACUAAUUCAUUUAACUGUAUUAUUAUUAUUAUUAUUAUUAUUAUUAUUAACUAGAUGAUCAUACAAAAAGUUAAAGUUAUAGAAAUAUUUCAUAAAAAAAAGUUAUAAAAGUGUAGUUUUGUAUUAGAAUAAGUUGAUUAUUUCUUAAAUAUAAUAAUUAUAAGCAUAAGCAUAAUGUAGCACUUUGCAGUUUUUUAUUUUGAAAUUGUUAAAUUAUGUUAAGUGAAUUGAUUUGGUUCAGUGGUUUAGUGUUAUGUUUGUGUGCGAGAGGUUUUGUGUUUGAUUCCUUUCCCUUGAAUUUUGAUUAUUUUUAUCCCAACCCCUGACUUAGAAUAUCUAGCUUAUCUUUAAUUAUUGAGUAGUUUUUGACAAGAAUAAGCUUGUUGGUUUAAUGGUAAGGCUUUAGCUUACCCAUGAGUCUUGUGGUCAAAUCUUAAGUGCUCAAAGUAGAAAUAUUUUUGCUCUCUUUGUUGUGCUCUCUGUUUUCCAUUUUUCUUUUUGGUUUUCCUCAAUUCUAUUUGUGUUCCUAAAACUUUCUUUCUCUAUCGUUUAUCUUUUGCGAUUAUUCUUUCAUUUAUUUUUGUCAUUAAUCAUCUUGUUUGGUCUUUUACCGUCACUCCGUCUUUCCAUUGAUUAAACCAUUAUUUACGCACCCUUAUUUCUCUGUCUCUCUAUUUUAUGCUCUUUCUCUUACGUAUUGGUCAUGUGUGAUUGGUGUGUUAAGUUUCUGUGUGGAAAUAUCUAGUAAGUAAGAUUUAUUUUCAGUUGGUGAUUUCUGUUUUGAUGCGAUUUCUCGUGGAUGGUUAGUAUUCUGUGUUGUUGUUAAUUGGAGUGGUCUGAUUAUGUCAGUGUUUUUGAUAGGAGAAGAUCGUGAGACACACCCUCCUCCCGCGAGUUGAGGGCCUUUGAACUGCUCCUUCUUGGGGUAAGUGUUUGAAUGCUGAGUUAUUGACUAAUUUCAGCUAGGGUCGAAUACCCUAUUGUUUAGGCCGAACAAGUGAUUUAGUUUCAGUACAUUGUUACUAAUUGAUUUGUUUUAGAUGUCAUUCAUAGGGUUUAGAAGAGUGUUGUUGUGUCCCUGUUCAGAAAAUCAUCAGGUGUGUGACUCAAACUCCACUAAAUUGUGAAACUGCGUGAAACCAAAUUUGCCAAUCAACGACACAUGGUCAUGUGUCUAGCCAUGUAAGCCACGCGAGCGUGUGUCUGGCUGUGUGCCAGGCUGUGUGGGUCACACGGGCUGGAUACUUAAGGCGUGUAAGCCCAUUUUGUAGGUUAAUGUGUCUAAAUUUGUGAUUCGUAAAAUUUUGUAACGGUUAAGUGGCCAUAUCUGAAAUCGGUUAAAACCAUUAGGUAAUGCAUGAUGAUUAAAUGCAAACAUUUUGUGAGUAUAAGCAAUAUGUUAAAAUCGUAUAUUUGUUUUAUGAGUAUUUGAGUAAGCAUGUCUUUAUAUUGUAUCUCUGAUUUUGUUGUUGUGCAUAAUUUUGGCCUGUGAAACUGUAUGCUUUAAAAGCACAUCUCUGAUAUGAUAAGCUUAUAAAUGAGCAUGUAUAGUCUGAAUAAAUAUGUGCAUAUGGUAUGUUUUUACAUGUGCAUUGGGGUGGGAUGCGAUAUGUGACGGAGGAAGUUCCGGCAUUGUAACGCUCUAAACCCAACCUAGACGUUAUGGCCGAAUCUGGGAAUGUUACGAAGAAAAGUUAUAAUUCUGACCUUAUCAUUUUGAAAACAUCGUAUAUUUUUGUUACUAAAAGAGUCUACUUAUUUAAAAAUGUGUUGUUAUUCUUAUAAGUUAAAACCGUCAAUUGUUUACAUUUUCAAGUAAAUCAAAUAGUUUGCAAUGGAAAUUCUUAAAUCGUUGUAUUAUGAAAAACAGAGUUUAUUUCCUCGAAAAUGGUUGAUUACAGAAAAAUGACUGUUUUCGAAAAUCAUUUUAUCAAACGUCAUUGCAAGAUAUCCCAAAUUAAAAUCCAAAUCCAAAAUAAAAUCCAAAUGUCUAGAGAGUCCCAAAAUUACAAAACUCUCAUAACCAAAUUUUUAAUUGAGCAAAUUAUGUAAAUAAUGUUUUACGUAAUCGUGGCAUAUCUGAGCUCCCGUCACACCAACUCGCCUAAGCCUGAGGAUUACCUGAAAGUAACAGACAAACAGAAGGUGAGUUUUAAAACUCAGUGUGUAACUCAAUAGAAACAUAAAUUCAGAUUCACUCAUAUGGCAAAACAGAUUCAGACAUAAAUAUUUUACAGAAUCAGAUUUGUAAUAGAAUCAUAUAGAUACGGAUAUUCAUAGUCCUACCCCCAUCCUUUACACACAAACUCUGACCAUCCCAACACACCACGUGGGGUAUAAAAACACCCACCCAGCCCUACAUACCACAUAGUGUCCAUACGACACUUUUCAGAAUAAUCGCAGCAUUCCUCCUCAUAAUACAUAACCCUCCCCAUAGCCAGAUACAAACAAAAUAUCAAAUAUAACAGUAUAAUAGAUACCAGAAUGUAUAUCACAUGCAUGCUCGUAUAACAACUACUAAACAUGCUCAUACAUAACAGAACAUGUAACAGCCCAAUUUUAGGCCUAGUCGGAAUAGUUGUUUCGGGACCAAAAAUUUAUUUUUUAUUAUAUUUUUAUGGUCUAAAAUUUCACAGAAUGAUUUCAUGAAAAUUUCAUUCAAAAGUUUCGACGUUUGGGCACUCAAUUUAGCCAAAAGGACUAAAUUGUAAAAAGUGUAAAAGUUGAGUUCUACAUGUUAGAAGUGUCCAAUUGUUAUGAAAUUUUAAAUUGGAGGUCCUUAAAUGGUAAUUAGACCAUUGGUUAACUUUUUGGACAAAAAUGGACAAGAGAUAAGUGAAAUAGGAAAUUUUUAAGUUGGGGGAAUUUUGGUCAUUUAGUAAUUAAAAGAAUUAAAAAGGCCAAAAUAGCCAAAAAUUUGUCCAUAUUCUCCAUGGUGAACGAAAUAAGCAAGGGGGAAGCCAUAUUGAGGGUUUUCAAGCUUCCAAGCUCCAUAGUAAGUGAUUCCAAGCCCCGUUUUUAAUGUUCUUUACGUUUUUGGAGUCCCGGUAACUUGAUUUAGCUUAUUCUAGCAAUAAUUUAACCUAGGGUUCAUAUUUUGAAAAAUACCCAUAGGUGAAAUGUAUUUAUUUUGAUGUUUUAUGGUAGAAUAUGAAGCUUAAAAUUAUGUUAAAUAACUUCUACUAGCCGAUUUUAAGUGAAAACGAGUAAAUUGACAUAAUCGGUAAAAAUACCUAAUGUUCAUAAGUGUUAGAGUGAGAAUUUGAUGUUUCCAUAGAAGGGAAAAAUGUUUAGCAUGUCAUAAAACAUAAUAAAAAGGAAUAAAUUUUAAUUUCCGAGCCUAGGGGCAAAAUCAUAAUUUUGUGAAACUUUAGGGGCAAAAAUGUAAUUUUUCCAAAAUGUGAUUUUUGGACUGGAUUGAAUAAUUUGAGUGUUAAAUAAGUUAAAUGUGUUAUUAUAAGUCAAGAAAGACAAGGAAUUAACUUUGAUUAGUGAAAAAGAAAAAAAUGAGAAAAAUUGAGAAAUUUCCCGAUUGAACAAUCGGAAUAAAAAGGGAUACGAAUGAAGUGAUAGAAAUGAUCACAUGUGUGGCAUGGACUGUGUGUAGGCCAGAAAGUGAAAGUGAUAGUCACGUGUGUAGUACUAUGUGCAGGCUACUACGUGUAUCAGAAUGAUAGGUCGCAUGUGUAGUACUAUGUGCAGGCUACUAUGCGUACCGGAUAGCUUCGAUCACGUGUGUAGUACUAUGUGCAGGCCACUACGUGUAUCGGAUAGUGAUGGUCACAUGUGUAGUACUAUGUGCAUGCUACUAUGUGAACCGGUAUCAUUAAUUAUAAGGUGGUUGCUAUGUGCUGAUCCCACCGGAUAUCAUUGAUUACAAAGGGUGGUUGCUGUGUGCUGAAUCCACCAUGUAUCUAUUAUUAUUUUGAAGUGUUCAUUGGGAAAUUGGCUAAGUGAAAAUACAUGAGAUCAUGUAACGAUUAAGUGUGAUUGAAUGAUGAAUAUAUGUGCGGAAUUGAAUUGAAUAAUGAUUGAAAGUGAAAAAGUGAAAUUAUGAAAAAGUAAAAUUACCAACAAAACAGUUUUGGACAGUAACAAUAGUGUGACUUUGAAAAAUCACCAAAAAUGAUGGAAAUUGAAUUAGAGAGUGAAUAAGAUAUGAAAUUAAAUAUUAAUGAGUCUUUUUUACAUAAAAGAAACAGAGUAAGCAAAAGAGUUAUAUAUUUUUAGAUAUUUUAAUUUUAGUGAGGUAGGGUCCGAUUGGUUUCGGAAUCCCCUAUUCUGACUUUGGAAAAUAAUUAAAAAUUGUAAAAAAAUAAUUAUAAGUUAUAAUUUAUAUUUUUAGAAUCCUUAAUGAGUCUAUUUUCAAAGAAAACAAAUUAAAAUAUCAUCUGAAUUCUAUACAAUGAGAUAAUUCAUUUUUAGUGAAGAGAGGUCAGAGAUGUUGAGCAGUUAAAUAGGGGUGAAUUUAAAGAAUAAAUUGUACUAAUUGGCUAAGCCAAAAAUUCUGAAAAUUUUAUGGUAAUAAGAUAUGUGAGUGUAGUUUUGGGAAAAAUUAACGUAACUUAAUUUGGAGCUCUUUAGCUCCAAAUAAAAAUAAUUUAGUGACUAUAACUCGACUAGAUAACUUUGAAUUUAAAUAUAAGUGAAUAGUGAAAUUAUGUAUAAUGUGAUUUAAGCAUGUUAUAUGCAUAAAGGAUAUGGGAUGGAGAGGAGGAGGAGGACAAUAAAGUAUAUGAAUGAAUUGUGUAUAAUUGGUUAAAUGCCUGAUUAUAAUCGAUAAAUGUUGAAAUAGGAGUGAUGCUUAUAUUGGUGCAUUACUGAUCAUGGUAAGCUCAUAAGAGAAAAUAAAGUUUCAUAGCAUAUGCGUGUAGUAUAUUUGGCAUGAAAUGAUGUCAUGAGUGGGUCAUGAAUUAACUCAUGUUGGUAAGUUGAUGCAUAAUUAUAGUAUUCAAAUAUAUACAUAUUUGUAAUAUUUUGCUAUGUGAUUCGGAAAAAGGGGAAUAAAUAGCAUAUUGAAAUUCGACCAUGGUGCUAGUUUAUGUUAAAUGAGUGUUUUAUGGCAUAUCUUAAGUAAUGGAAUGUUAUGAAUUUUGAGAUUAAUUUGCUAGUCAAAUAAAUGACAAAUGAAUUGAUUGCGUAUUCGUAAUUUUGACAUAUGCUUGGUAUAUGAAACGUAAUAAUAUAUGCUUGAAUAAACUUUAACACCAUGUUGGUGGGCCCCACUUAAUCCCCCUUUAAUCCGUUGUUUGGUUCAUGGUAUUGCUAUUACGGGUCUAAUACAUUACUGACCUAAUCGGUGAAAUCCACCGAUUUCUAAUCCCUCCAUUUUGCUCAGUUUAGGUGUUGCUUCAGUUUACCCUCCCUGUUUUACCCUCCCGAUCGGCUUCUUUUAUUUUUUCCUCCUUCUCCUUCUUCAUCCUUCAUCUUCUUCUCCUUCUUCAUCCAGGUAACUUUCCUCCUACUUCUUCCGUUCUUCAUCUUUUAUUUCCAAUUUUCCUUAGCUUUGUCCGUCGCAUAUCUUCUCUUCUCAGGGCUGUUGUUUUGUUUCGCUCAAAUCUAUGGCUACUUUCACCUUUUUCUCUCUUUUUCGGUACUCUUUUAUCUGUUUAUAUUUUGUUAAUGUUAAGGACAGAGUGAUAAAGUAUUGAUUCUGGGUAUUUGAUUUGGACAGUAAUUAUGUAACGACUGCAAGGAUUGUUGCAAUUGUGAGAGCCUCACCACGACUCUCUUCUUCUCUCACCUCCAUCAAUUUUCUAACACCAAAUCACUCACGCAAGUAUUUUUCUUUUCUUUUUAUUUGGUUGGGAAGUUCUCUUAUUUCGGCAUUCAAUUGAUGAUUACUGUUAUUCUUUUCUUUUCUUUUUUUGCUUUUCUGCAUUUUAACCACGUGCAAAUGAUUAGGAUGAACUUGGAGAAGAACUAUCUGCGUACCUGAUCCAUAAACCUUGGUUCGGCUUUUCUUGAAGCAGUUUCUCUAGAUGGAAUACUGGCCUAGUUUAAAUUUCUAGUUACAAUUCUCCAGCACAAAAUGUUAGUAGCAAUACGGUGAAGAACGUUGUUUGGUUGCCGAGAAAUACGUAAGGAGAAAAAAAUGGAGUGAAUGAGUGAUAUGUUUGGUUACAUUUUAUCUUUUCCAUUUUGUUGCAUCAAUGUUCUUAAGAUAAUUUUUGUGUUUUUGUGUUUUUUAACAGAGAACUUAAUGAUCAAUCAACUAGUGUGUUGCACUCGUAUCAUGAUUCAGGUUAGAAGUUUCUCCUUGUUUUCCCCCACUCGUACUUCAAUUUAAAGAUGAUUAGCAAUUCCUAGUCCUAUGGUAAAAAUGGUAUUGAUUGAUUGUUUUCCCCCACUCGUACUUCAAUUUAAAGAUGAUUCCUAGCCUUCUUUACCAUUAUUAUAAUUUUAGUCUUUAUAUUAGCAUCAUUUUUGACACUUGGAAAUCGCUGCAUGCCUUGCUUUGUUAUAUUAGGUGCAAUGCCGAGGGAUGUUUUCAACACACUACCACCGUUUAGUUAUGGACUAUAGGAACAAUUCCAAGGUGUGUCUGCUUUCUGUUGGAUAAUAUAUUUUUUAAACUGAAGUUUAUAGCAUUUAUAAUUGGCAAAUUAUAUUAGGUGCAGAGAGAGUGAAUGAGAUAUUUUGAGUUGUACAGCAUUAGUUUGAAGUCUUAUCUGCCAAUUUGUUUAGUGAAAAUUUGUAAAAUGCAGGGCUCAUUGCUAUUUUAGUGUCUGUUCAAUUUCCUCAAGUUAUUUAUUAUUUGCCUUUAAUAAAAUUUUACAGGUCUCUCUCUGUCACAUGGCGUGCCAAGUAGGAAAUGGAGUUGAAGGAGCUGAAGAAGUUACAUUUCUUUACAGGUUGACUCUUGGUGCCUGUCCAAAAAGUUACGGUGUGAAUGUUGCACGAAUAGCUGGUAAGGUUAUUUGUAACUUUAGUUUCUCUUUGCCGAGGAUCUACGUGUGGACUUGUGUGAAAUGGGGCCUCAUUAGCUUCUAUGUUGCUUAUAGCUUUGAUAUGUAUAAAUAUAAUAUGGAGAUUAACUUGAAUAAUGUGUACUGUGGGUUGAAACUAUAAGGACCUUCGAAGUCCAUUGAAGGAUGUGGUGUUUAGAGUGUUUAGAGUAUGAUAGCAUCAAGGAUUCCAUGGGGCAUAUCUCACCUACAGGGAAAAAAUUUAGCUUUUUGUUGAUUUUUCCUUGAAUUUAGUUCAUAUUAUCAGAUUAUUGAAAUGUGCAUUAAUCAAUACCUUCUGUUAUUAAGAACCUUUAGGACAAAAAGAUGUAGAUGUAUUUUUUUGUAUUUAUCUAGAUCUUUGUUUAUAGAGAAUCGACUGAAUUGCAAAAUUUUAGCAUCUGCUAUGAUGAAUGUCACCUAACUGGUAAUCAUUUUAGGGCUUCCUGACUCAGUACUACGAAUAGCUGCCAGUAAGUCUAGAGAAUUUGAGGCUAUAUACGGGAAACACCGAAGCAAGGGAUCUGAAGACAAGUUGCCAAUGCAAAGUAGUCUUGACGAAAUGGUAGUUUUUAUUCGGGAACUAAUCAGCCUUACACGCUUAAAGACAUGCGAGGAGGGCACUUGUAUUAGGUCAUUGAUUCAACUUCAACAGAGGGCAAGGAUGCUUCUGCAUCAACAUUGAUUGAAUGAAAUCCAUGUAAUAUUUGUAAUUUUUCCCAGGGUCAUUCAUUUUCGGAUAUAGUUAGUAAUGUGAAUAUGAUUGUAACUAAUAUGCUAUCUAGCAUUUUGUAAAGUUUGGGUGGGCUAGAAAAUUGGAAAACAUAUUAGUUGGUAGCUGGAAGGUUGAAAUGAGCUGACCGGCAUUUUGUACAAUGCAUUUCUAAUGAGAAAAUUUUGUUGACAUGAUUGCUCUAUCUCCUUGACUGAAACACCUAAAGCUGAAGCAGUUUGAAUUAAGUAAUUAGCAGUAUUUGUGAAAUUUUGGGUGAUCAAGUUCAACAUUGCUUAAAGGUCAUAAUGCUUGGCACUGGUUAAAUGUAUAAAUUAUAUAUCAUUAUUAAAUUAUAUUUAAUAUUCAUUAUUUUAAAUUAUAUAAAUUCAUAUAAGAAAAUUUAUUAUCAAGAAUUUUAUGAAAUUAUAUAUCAUUAUUAAAUUAUAUUUAAUAUUAAUUAUUUUAAAUUAUAUAAAUUCAUAAAAGAAAAUUUAUUAUCAAGAAUUUUAUGAAAUUAUAUAUUAUUAUUAAAUUAUAUUUAUAAUAAUUAUUUUAAAUUAUACAAAUUCAUAUAAGAAAAUUUAUUAGUUAUAAUUGUUUUAAAUUUUAUUAAAUCAUAUAUUUUAUUAAGAAUAUUGAUUAUUAAGAAUUUUAUUAAAUUAUAUAAGAAUAUUGAUUAUUAAAAAUUUUAUUAAAUUAUAUAUUUUAAUUAUAAUAUAUUUAAUAAUAAUUAUGUUUAAAUAUGCUUAAAUUAUUUAUUAUUGAUAUUAAUAAUCUUAUUAAAUUUUAAAUAACAAUAACAAUAAUCAUUUAUCCAAACAAAUUUAUGCUAAGGGUAUUCUAGUCAUUUUAGUUUUUUCCAUUAUGCUAUUACAUCUCUAUUCCAUUCAACCAAACACAAGAAUACUAUUACACAUCUAUUCCAUUACAUUCAACCAAACAAUUGAUUUGCUAUUACGCCUCUAUUCCAUUACGCCUCUAUUCCAUUACGUCUCUAUUCCAUUACGCCUAUAUUCCAAUACAGCGAACCAAACAUGCUCUAAGUAUUCGAAUGACAUGGAUUUGAUGGUGAUAAGAUUCGAACAUUGAAUUCAUGAAGCACAGGUGAUGUAUUAUUGUUGUGUGAUAGCUUGGUUCGAGAAAUUGGUUAGGUAAAUGGUAAGUGAAAGCAUUUAUGGAUAUAUAAAAAAUUUGGACUGAAUAUGAAAUUUAGCUCAAUUAAAUAAUUUCAUCAAUUAAACAUUGUGUAUACGAGAAUGUGUUAGUGAAUUACAUAUUCGUAAAUUGACAUUCGAAGUUCAGUUAGUGAUAAAUGAAAAGAUUUAUGAUUGUGAUUAAUAUUGAUUCUGACUUAAAGUGGAUUCUUCAAUAUUGGAUUGAUUUAACGGAUAUAUUGAGCAUAUGAAUGGGUAUGUAUUGGGCCUCAUAAACCCUAAUUAGCGACUCGAAGAUAAUAAUUUGAAAGUUUUUAAUUUGGAUGAAAUUUUAUAACUUGAUUUAAUAUGUUUAUAAGUGUAUUUAUUCUGGUAAUGCCUCUACCCUAUUCCAGCGUAGAAUACGGGUAAGGGGUGUUACAAUGUGACAUCACCAGAUUCGACCCUAAUGUUUAGGCCGGGUUUGGGGUGUUACAGAACAUAUCAUACAUAUCAUAUUACACAAUACCUAUAUAGAUGUUAUUUACAUCAAUUUCAUUCUAACAGAGUAGUAGAUUUCAUACUUUACGGCUUAUACCACACAUACCGACCCUACAGAAGGCCCACAGUCGAUCGGGAUGACAUAUACGACCCUAGGGAAAAAUUUUGAAAUUUGGACCCACAUGCCCAUGUGGCUAGCCCGUGUGGGCCCAUAUGCCCAAAAUGGCUUAGCGCGUGUGGCCUACACAGCUUGGCACAUGGCCCACAUGAACCAAAAUGGCCUAGGCCAUGUGUCACACACGGUCUCGCACACGGCCUACCACACUGCUAGCCACAUGACUGUGUGGUGUCAACAGGCCUCAAUUUCGACUUUUGCCGAUUGUCAUUUUUCGAGUUUCUCGUUAUACACCUAACUCAAUUUUGAUACGGAAACAACUACGAGACCACUAGUACUUCAAAAUUGACAAUAAACAUUUCAAUUAGCCAUGUUUCCCCAAUUAACCAAAAUAAUACACUAGCCAUAACGAAAAUCUCAAACGUUCAAACAUUUAUCCAACUUCGAGAACGAUUCCUAGCACCACUAAUCACAAGGGGAUAGUUCGGUCCUCACGAUUCACCGCUGUCAACAAGCCCAAGAUUAUAAUCAACAAAAAGAUAAUAACACCGAUUCCACAACGAACUUUGAAAUUACCCUUAAGCCGAACAAAACCCCAUAAACCCCACUUACCAGACCGCAAGAAGAAACAAAAGAAUCCAAGACACAUCGAUUCAAUCGAGCAGAAAGAUGUUAGAAUUGAAGAAAGUAAACCAAAAGAAGAGGCUAAAGGAAGACAGAAAAGAAAACGUUAGAGUAAUUUGGCAAAAAGACAAAACGUGGAAAAGAGGGAAUUUUUCAGGAAAAAUUAAAAUAAAAUUAAGAUAAUGCCCUCAAUUCCCCACUGUCCCCACUAACUACCCAAUCCCUCAAAAUUAUCCUCCAACUACCAUAGAAUUUCAAUUCCACCAAACCUCUACUACACCACCGGCAUACACCCAGAAGCAAAAAUAUUGCUAAUUACUCUCUCAAGGAUUCGAACACAAGACCCUGGGAAAAGCUAGCACUUACCACUUAAACUAGCAGGCUCAUUCUAAUAUAAGCUAUCCAAAAUAUGAUAUAACCAAGCCAUUAAAGACAAGGCUAGGAACAAAAAUAGCAAAUUUUCUAAAAGUGGGACUUGAACCCCAAACCUCAAGCACACAUACAUAGAUUUCUGGCGGUAACACCGCAAAUUUCUGUAUAUUAUGUUAUGCAAUUUCUGGCGGUAACACCGCAAAUUUCUGUAUAUGGCAAUUAAACACUACAUAGAUUUGAUUCUGGCAGUUUCCGCAUUAUAUCUUGCAGCUUGACUGCAUAUUUCUAUACAGUGAAAAACGAACACAAAUUUGGUGUGUGGGGUUGAAUGGGUAUUAAUUACCCUAUUUGGUGUGGUGGAUGGGACGAAGGUGAUGAGUAGCGGACGGGGGUAGGAUAUGUAUAUCAUUUGUGUAAUAUUUGCAUCGCAUGAUAUGGCAUGCCAUGCCAUUUGUAACUGAUCUAAUUGUUGUGCUACAUUGCCAUCUAUGCCUGUUCGGUUAUUGACUUUUGUAUGACUAUUUGUUAUUCAUUUUUGUAUAUGAUUUGAGUUGCACACUGAGCUUUUUUAACUCAUCCAAUAAUUUAUCUUCUCAGGUAAUCAGUGAAGUUAGGAUCGGGUGACGUGCGGGAGCUCAGCUUGGAUUUUAGCUAAAUAAAAAAAGGUUUAUAAUUUUAAAUUUAAUUUUGGACCUUCUGAACUGUAUAAUUGUUUUGGACCUUAUUCUUCAAGUUUUUUGAUUUUCUGCUAGAUUUUUGUUUCGUUAAACUACAAAUUACAUGUUUUGACAUACUAGAAUCACGAUUUUCAAACUAACAACUCCUAAAUUUCUGUUGAAAAACUAAAUAACAAAUUAAGUAUUUUUCUGUAAAAUAAAUAAGUUCUACGCAUAUUUUCUAACAACUUGUAAGAGUUUUGUCAAAAUUAAAUAUUUUCGAAACACACACUUAUUUAAUUUAAAAUCUGGACUUUUAAAAUAAGUUAAUGUAAUUCCUCAAAAUCCGGACAUAACGUCUAGAUCAGACAUGGGGUGUUAUACAUAAUUCUAAAUUUAGGAAAAUAAUUUAUUAAACUUUAUGAUAUUUUAUUAACACUUAUUAACCUAUCAAAUUUCAAUAUUUUAAAUAUGUGAGUAUGGUACAUAAAGAUGCGGAUUGAGAAAUUAGGAAGAAAUAGUUAGAUGAAAGUGAAAGAGAGAGUGAAAGGAGUGCGCGGUGAUAUUACGAGGCAUCUAAUCACUUUUGGGUUCCUUAAUCCCAUUCUCCAUUAGGAUACCAACAAUAAUAUAUGGACCAAUGCACAGGAAUGGGAUGCUACAUUCCAUUUGAAAGAUCAGCAGUGAAGCAUAAAUGCUUUUGUUUUUUUGGCCCCAUCAUACUCAGGUCCAUUCCUUUCUCCAUCUAUUCCUAUCAAUACCCUCACAAAUUAUUUUUUUCCACACUAUUCCAAAAGAAAAAUUGAAAGUUCAGUGUUAUUGAAUUAUGCCAUCAGUUAGAAAUUAAUUAACAAAUUUGUUUUAUAAAUUAAUAAAUAAUAUGGUAAUGGUAAUUAUAUAUUUUAAAAUUUUUUAUAUAAUAUUUUAAAAGAGAAUAAACUAUUUAACCGUUUUUACGUUUCAUAGAAAUCACAAAAUGUUGCUUAAAUUAUACUAUUUUUCCAUCAUGGUAUUUAAACUAUACUUCAUCAUCUAAAGUGAUACCUAAAUUAUACUUCGUCUUCGCUACCAAAAUUACCCUAAUCAUUAAAAAAAUUUUAACAAAUCAUUUUUGUGACAUAUUAAACUUUUUAAAUAAAAAUAAAAAUAAUAGAACUAAAUUAAUUAUUAAAAAUAUCAAAUUGAAUUAAAUUAUAACUUUUCUAUUUUUUUAGACUCUUCCUCUCUCCAUGAUUGUUUUCUCUUUUAAUGCAUUUUCUUUAAGUGUUAGAUGAGUAAACUUUGCAACCCUCAAACCAUUUUUUUUCCUAUUCAACUUCUUUCUAAUAUUGGAAUUUUGUGCUUUAUCUCUGGUUUUUUAUUAUAAAGGUUCAUCCAAUAUUAAUUAUUUUACACAAAGUAUAUAGAAAAAAAAGAAAUUAUUGAUAAGAAAAAUAAUACAUAAGUUUUGAAAUGGGAUGAGAAAGGAAUCAAAGUCCAUGUUUGAAAAAAAGGAAAAGAAGCUCAUUGGAAUAUGUGUUGUGUCAUCGAAAUAGGAUUUGGAUAUGAGUUUUUUUUACGGGUUCUUGAAUUUUCUGUCACCGGAAUUUUUAGGUAAAAAUAAAAUAGAUCAAUAUGUUUAUAUUAAAAAAAAACUUAAGGAAAUAAUCUUUAACUUCUUUUGAAUUUUUUAAGUUAAAAAUUGUCAAGUGUCACGAAAUGAGGCUUGGAUAAUUUGAGUAACGAAAUAUAGUUUAGGAACUACUUUGAAUAACAAAAUAUAUUUUAAGUACCACUUGUGAUAAAAAAGAAUUUAGUAGAAAAUAAUAUAAUUUUUUUAGUUCAAUAAAAAAAUAUAAUGUAAGUACUACUUUAAAUAAUAAAAUAUCACUUGUUACAACUUAAGAAGGAGACAUGUUCUUUGAAUUGAUGCACUGCAAAAAAGGUAAAGUUAGAUAUAGUCUGAACCGUAAACUUAGAAGCCAACCUUAAACAGACAUUUGUCACUAGAAGCCAAAAAGUUUAUCAUUACUUGCAUCUAUCUUUACAUAGACUGAGUGUAACGUAAUUUAGAUUAAUUGAAACGUUAGAAAUGUUUUCUCACUUAAAUUUAUAAUAAUGAUUUUUGCGAAUAUAAAUAAAUAAUUAAAAAUCAUUUAAAUAAUAUGAACCUUAAUGAUUGAAAGCAUUAAAAGGAAUCCCAGGGAAUAUAGUAAGUGACCCAGUAACCUCCCUGGGGUCUCCAAAAAGAUGAAUAUAGAGUAGUUUUCAUGCAGAAGUGUAGUCGGAUGAUGAUGCAGCCCUCUUCUUGGCAAAGUAUUCCUCAGCUUGAGCAAGGUUCUUUGCAACUGAAGGCUUAGCCCACUUCUUGCGCCCAGGCAGUACGGUGAGAGAGCAACUGACAGCCUUAAGCUUUUCCUUUGAAGAUGUUGAAAAGGCACGGGCCUUCAAGUUCAGCUUUACAUUCAGCUCCCCGUCACCAAGAAUCUAAAUCAACAUGAUUUAUUAUCAAUAACAAUGAAUAUUUUGUUUUAAAAACAACAUGUUCGAUUAUUGCAAUUACAAUUCUUUCCGUCUUUGCAUGAGAGAACCAAUUAAGAAGGUAGAAUUGAAUUGUUAUUUCCAUUAAUAAUUAAGAAGGUCGGGAUUAAUGCUUCAUGCAUGAGAGAAACACAACUUCCUACUUGUAGAACAAAAAUAUAUGGAAACUGCUCAAAACAUAAAACAGACAAUAACCAGUCACAGAUCGGCCUGUCACAGGGCAACCAGCCCAGUCAGAAUCACUAAAAGCCUUCAGUACAAGUGAUGAAGAGGCAGAAAAGAAGAGACCAUAAGCAAGGCAGCCGUUGAAGUAAUGAAGAACACGAUGAGUAACUUGUAAAUGACUGACUGUAGGCCGGUCCAAGAAUUGACUCAGUUGUUGAAUUGUAAAAGCGAUAUUAGGUCUAAUAGAAACCAGAUACAAUAGGUGGCCAAUAAGUUUCCUGAAAAGAGUAUUAUCAGGAAGUAAUUCCAUAGAAGCAUCUCGAGGGAUUUUGGUAGCCAUUGGAGUCUUAACAGGCUUGCAAUCUAAGAAACCAAAAUCAGACAAUAUGUCAAUAACAUAUUUUCGUUGACAAAGAUGAAUACCAGCAGAGCUUCGAGCAACCUCAAGUCCAAGAAAGUAUUUUAAAUCACCCAAGUCUUUGAUUCUAAAUGUAGAAUCCAAAAAAGCUUUAACUCUUGCUAUUUCAUCCAAAUGAUCACCAGCCAGGAUGACAUCACCGACAUAAAUCAAUAAUGCAGUGAAGGAAACAGCGUCCUUUUUAACGAACAAGGAGAAAUCAGAACUGGAUUGAAUAUAACCAAGAGAAGUAAGAGCAGAUGUGAGCUUAGAGAACCACUGUCUACUUGAUUGCUUUAGACCAUAUAAGGAUUUUUGUAACUUACAAACCUUAUUGGGAGUUGAUGGAUCAAAACCAUGAGGUAAAAGCAUAUAAACCUCUUCACUCAAAUCACCAUGCAAAAAAGCAUUGUUAACAUCAAGCUAGUGCAAAUACCAAUUCUUAGAAGUAGAAAUAGCAAGUAAAAAGCGAACAGUGGUGAUCUUGGCUAUAGGUGAAAAAGUAUCAAAAUAAUCGACACCCUCAGUUUGUGUGAACCCCUUUGCAACCAAACGAGCCUUGUAAUGUUCAAUGGAACCAUCGGCUCUAUGUUUCACUCAAAAACCCAUUUACAACCAAUUGCAGUCUUGCCUGGAGGUAAAUCCAUAAUGAUCCAGGUGUUAUUUUGUUCAAGAGCAGAAAUUUCAGCCUGCAUUGCUUCUCUACAAUGAAAAUGUUUACUAGCUUGUGAAUAUGUUUUAGGUAUAGAGGAAACACUAAUGGCAAGAGUGAAAUGUAAAUGGGUUGAAGAAAGGUUAGAGAAAGGUGUUGUACAUCGAAGAUGAUUGGUAGCUGCCUUGCUUAAAAAGCAAUGAUAUUGGUCUAAAUAAGAAGGUGGUUUCCGAAUACGAAGUGGCCUGGAAGAUUGUAAGGGAGAAGUCGGUUUAACUUGUGGCUGAGAUGGCAAAUCAUCAGUGGUGGAGGGAUCAAAAACCAGUUUUGGGGUGGACGAAUGAGAUGGUUGAUGAGAAAAAGGAAAGGUUGACUCAUGAAAGAUGACAUUUCUUGAAACAAAGAUGGCCUAGGACAACAGAUCAAAAAGGAUAUAUCCUUUAACAUUUGGUUGAAAUCCAAGAAAAAUACACUCAUGGGCUCGAGGAUCAAAUUAAUGACGAUAGGCAGUAAGGGUUGUAGCAAAACUAAGGCAACCAAGGACACGUAAAUGCUAAAAGUCAGGCUUGGUUUGGUAAAGUUUUUCAAAAGGAGUAAGAUUAGCCAAAAGGGGAGUUGGGGUACGGUUAAUAAGGAACAUAGAAUGAAGAACAACAUGUCCCCAAAAAUGCUUAGGUAAACUAGAAUGGAAUAAAAGAGCCCGUGAAACAUUAAGAAUAUGUUGAUGCUACGUUCAACAAGACCAUUUUGUUGUGGGGUUUCAACACAAGAAGUUUGAUGAAUGAUUCCUUUAGAAGCAUAUUGGAAUAUCAAACUUACGGCCAUUAUCAGUUUGAAAGACCUUAAUUUUGGAGGAAAAUUGAGUUUCAAUAACUGUGUAAAAAUUUUGAAUAUGAGUACGAACUUCAGAUUUGGCUUGCAAGAGAAUAAUCCAAGUAAAACGACUGAAAUCGUCAACAAUAGUUAGAAAAUAACAAUGACCAGUGACAGACACAACAUCAGUCGGACCCCAAAUAUCAAUGUGAAUAAGAUCAAAGAUUUUAUUAGAAACAGAAUUGCUUAGAGCAAAAGGAAGUUUCUUUUGUUUUGCCAAAUGACAAGCUUUACAAUCUGAAUUAUUUGCUAUGGACAAAGAAGGAAUAUAAUAAGAAAGUAACUUCAAUCUUGAAUCAGAAAGGUGACCAAGACGAUGGUGCCAAAUGUGACAUGAUGUGGUGGUGGCUGACAAGACAGUAGGAAUGGUAAUGGAGAAGGUUUGAGCUGGUGAGUCCCAAAAUAUAAAGACCAUGAAAAAUAUUAGCUGUACCAAUCAUCUUCAUAAAGGGAAGGGCCUGUAAGGAACAAUGAGUUUUAUGAAAAGUGAAUGAAUAAGGUAAGGUGGCAGUAAGUUUAGUAACAGAUAAGAGAUUGAAAGCAAACUGAGGAACAUAAAGGACAUUUGUAAUAUAAAGGUUAUCACUAAAAAUAAUUGUACCAGAAAAUCGAGCACAAACUUUGGUGCCAUUAGGAAGAGUGAUAUGCACAAAUUGAAUUGGAGUGAAAGAGGCAAACAAGGAUAAAGAAUGUGUAAUAUGAUCGGUCGCACCAUUAUCUAUAAUCCAAUGGUGUGAUUGAAAAGAAAAGAGGUUACCUGCAGAUGUAGAAGUCGUUUGGUGUAAGGAAGAGACAGUGUUGGUAACAUGAGGUGGUGAGGUAGAGUUUGAAGAUGGAAGCAAUGCGAGCAACUGUUGUAACUGUUCUUGUGUCAAAUUAACACAAGGAUCAAAUGGCAAGGUAGCAACAGACUGUGAAGAGUUCAAGGAUUGUGCAGCACCAUCAUCAAACACAGUGUGUGCAUAAGAAGUCCGACCACGAGACUUAUAACCAGGUGGAUAACCAUGCUUCGCAUAACAUGUAUCAACAGUGUGCCUAGAUUUGCCACAAAAAGUGCACUUCCGUGAAUCAGUAGAAGAUUUUGCCUGAGAUUUCUUGAAAGAAGAAUGUUGGCGCAUUGUGUUACUAACAAACACUUGAGAAGAUCCAAUAGUAAGAUGACGUUCCUGUUGAAUGACCAGAGAAAAGGCUUUAUUGAUCGUAGGCAAUGGAUCAAUGAGCAUAAUUUGAGAGCGAACACCAGCAAAUCGAUCAUGAAGACCUUUAAGAAAUCGAAUGACAUAGUCAUUAUCAUGAUAUUUCUAAAGAGUAGCAAAAACACCACAGGAACAAGGUGUGUGACAAGAACAGACGAGAAUCGGUCGAAAAUUCAACAACUCAUCCCAGAAAAUCUUCAACUCAGUAAAGUAAUCAGUGACCGAGCGAUCAUCUUGCUUGAAAGUAGAGAUCUCUUCUUGGAGAUCAGAAAUGCGAAAAACAUCUCCUUGAGAAAAACGUUCAUGGAGAUCGCGCCAAAUCUUAUAAGUAAAGUCUAGCCAAAGAAUACUAUUCAUGAUUGAAGGCAAGAUAGAGUGAUGCAGCCAAGAGAUCACCAUAGUAUUGCACCUUUCCCAAGCUAAAUAAAGAGGAUCUGUUCUGAUCGAAACUGGGAUUGUGCCAUCAACAAAUUUAAGCUUCUUCUUGGAUAAAAGCGCCAUUGUCAUUGCACGAGACCAAGAAUGAUAAUUCGAUCUUGAUAAGGCAAGAGAAACAAGAACUAAGGCUGGAUUUUCAUUUGGAUGAAAGUAAUAAGGACUGGAAGGUAGUGUAGGAUCAUGGAGUGCCAUUGGAAAGAAAUAAAACCAAUGAAAAUCAAAGAAACAGAGUGUUUGGGAAGCGAGAAAGUGCAGAAAAAUGCAAGAGAAUUGAAAGAGAAUUUUAGAUCUGAUACCAUGUAGAACAAAAAUAUAUGAAAACUGCUCAAAAUUAUUUACAAUACAAAGGCUCAGUUAUAUACAACUUACAAGAGAAAAGAAAAAUAAAAGAAUUGAGAACUUACAUAGGUGUAUCAAACUAACUGCUAUAUCUGCUAACUGACUAACAAUUAAAUUAGAUCUAUAUUACUAACACUACUCAAGUUGAUCUCCAGAACAAGUAGCAUUGGGGUCAUUAUACUUAAACAAAGUCUAAAAAGGGCUCUGUUAUAAUAUAAAUCCAAGAGCAUAUUCACCUUUAAAGGGAGUUUCCUCUCUCUUCCUGAAGGCAAACCCUUCUCCUUUAAAGACUCCAAUGACACCUCAUCUCCCUCUUGAAAUCCAAUUGUUUCGUUGUCUUUUAAGUUAACCGGUAUGUAUUUGGUAAUCUCGCAUGCAUACCUUGCAAUGUCAAAUGAAAAUAGCAUUAAUUUAAACACUAAGCAAAUAUAUAUAUUUAAGCAUGCAUGCAUGUAUGUUUGAUAUAUAUGUUAUACUAAAAGGCAAAAAAAAAUUAUUAAUGGAAGAGAUAAGUACAUAAGCUUUUUGUAAUAGUGGUGAGCAAAAACCAGUUAUAAUUUAUUCAAACCAAACCACAAUCUAUUUAUUUAAUUAUUUUUAUUUUAUUACAUAAAAAUAAAUCCUCUAUUUCUAAAUUAGCAAAAAUAUAAAAUAUUAAAAUAUAAUUCUUUUAGAACUUUAAAAACCAAUCAACCAAAUCACAAAUUUGGCCUCUUUUUAUCUUACUUUUAGCAAAUUAGAAUAUUGCAAAUUAACCACAACUUUUAUACAAGUUGAACCAAACCAUUGCCGAAUCUAGUCAUAACAAUGUUACAACUGUAAAAAUAAGAUUAAAGUUUUUUUGAGAUAAAUUAAGUCGUGUUUUGCAAAAUAAUUACUGUUUUUACAAGUUCAAACACUGUUUAAUAAGGCAAGCUUUCUGGUGUUUUCGGGUGGUCAAUGUAACUUCCAGGAUCCAAUCAUAACGUUUAGGUUGGGUAUGGGGUGUUACACAAGGUCUAUGUUCAUAUAGCCAAGCACUAUAUGUCACAUCCCAAAAACUAGAUUAGUGGGCAGAUAGUGGUCACACCCUAUUUUUAGAUAAGUGUUGUAAGUUUGUGUAAAGUGAAUUGGUUUGCUUUAGCGGUUAAGUGUUGUUCUUGUGUGUAAGAGGUCUUAUGUACAAAUCCCUUCUCUUGAGUUUUAUUAUUUUUAUUCCUACACUUGACUGGUCACAAGUAGGUUAUAUUUUAUUCUUGUUAGUAGUUGACAAGAAAGACUUUAUUGAUUCAGUGGUAAGAUUUUAACUUACCUAGGGUUCUCGUGUUUGAAUCUUCCUGUGUGUAAUGGUGGAUUUCUUUUUGUUUCCCCUCUGCUAUGCAGUCCAUGACUCAAGAAAUGGGUCAAUUUUCAAACACUUUGAGAUCUAUAGGAUAACAAAUAGUCCUAAAAGAAUCUCUCCCACUUUUCAAUCAACCGUCCCACACUUCCACUCUCUCUUUUACUGCCCUCUUCUUCCCAUUUUUCUCUCCAUCUUUGGGUUUUCUUUAGUUUCUUUCCUUCUCUUUUCUUUUUCUCUUUUUGUUUGGCUAUACUCACAUUUUAUUUUUUUCGGUUACCAUAUUACACGUUUGCGACUCUUCUUGUUGUUCCUUUCAUUGUUUGAGCGUCGAUCUCAGGUUCUUCAUAUGUCAAUUGUGAGUGCAGAAGUGUUCAAUACUGUGGUCACAUCUAUGUGUAAGUGUUUUUAUUCCUUCUCCUUUAGGAAUGAAUGUUCCAUUUGGAUAGUGUGCGAAUGAGAGGUUUAGAUUAGUGUUGGUCGUUUAAUAAGUUUUAUGUCGGGUUUUUUAUUUUGUGUUUCUAUCUAAGUGCGACACUGGAAGUGCAUAACAACCUUUCGACAAAUUAAGGUUUUCGUUUGCACUACAUCAAGGGUAAGGGAUUGUGUAUCUUAGUUGGAGACUAUUUCGGCAUGUUUAGGCUGACUACUUUUUCAUUUUUUUUUGCCAAAUACUCUAAUCAAGUAAGGGCUGAGUUAUUAUUUUGGACUUGGUGUGGCUGUUAAUUAGUCAUUUUGGAUAUUGUUUUAGGGUCCUAGAAUUGCUGUUGUUGUGAAGGCAUCAAAAAACGACUAGGUGUGUGACUCGAUCUUAUAAAAAUAGUGAAUGGGGAAAGUUGAAAAACCUACUGUUGACGCCACACUAUCGUGAGGGCCACAUGGGAUGGGUUAAGCAGGUCGUGUCACAUCCCGAAAAUCGGGUUAGUAGAAAUGGACAUUAGAUUGUGGGCUCGAGAGAAAAAUCAGGUUUUGUGUCGUAGAAGCUAAAAUAGGAUAAAAUAAAUAAUAAGUUAAUAAUAAUUAAAUAAAAUAAUAAUGGUAUUAAUAAUUGGGGAAAUAGUAAAAAUUAAAAGAGACUAAUUUGGAAUAGUGGUUAAAGUAGAGGUUAAAUGUGUAAAUUAAAACUAGUAGUUAAAAAGGGAGUUAUUAGAACAAGGGAGAAAUAAGAGAGGACUUAGAGGGUAAAUAGCCCAAUUUUAAAAAAAUUAGUUGGAUACAAAAGCCACUUGCCGCCCAAGUUCUCACCAUACUUUUUUUCAUUUUAAAAAUUUGUUAGAUCUAAGAUUGAAAGUUUUAUUUCAAAUUUUCUGCACCUUUUAGAUUUUCUUGGCAUCCAAACACCUCUUAUUCCAUUAAUUUUGCAAGAAAAUCACUUUUUCUUCUUCAAUUUCUCACCUAAACUUAGCUCAUUUUUGCUCAAUUGUUACAAAUUCAUUGUUUCUUAUAUACUAAAUUUUUAUUAGGUGUUUUUAUUUGAAUUUUCAUAGAUCUAAGCAAAAAAUUUAAGAUCCAUAGUUUUAAAGUUAUCUUUUGCAUAAAAAUGGUGAAUCUCAUACUAAAGUGCUAAGAGAUGUUUUUAAAAUGAUUUUCAGUAUAUUUUGAAAAUAUUAAGAGGCUUUCUAAUUCAAUUUAUCAAAAUCUUUAAAUAAUUGCAUGAAUUAAAUAGUUUUCUUUUGAGAAUGAGGAUGAACAAUGUUUUUUCGAAAAAAAUUAAUUAAAGAAAUUGAGCAAAGUUAAAGAUCUAGAUCUAUAAUUAAACCUUAGUUAGGGGGCUAGGAGGUAGAAAUUAAAGUUUUAAUUAAGUUAAAGAAAGAAGAAAUUAAGCGAAAUGUAUUGUACAAAAUAAGUUGAAUAAGUAUGUGUGAGUGGAUAGCCAUUGUAUGAACACAAAGAGAUAAGUUAGAUUGUUUUUAAAUGCUUAGUAAUAUGUAUUUUUUUUUGUUAAGUAAAAAACGUGGGCGGAGCCUUAGCAAACCAAGAUAAAGGCAAGCAUAAAGUUGUCUCGUUCAACAAGCCGUGGUGAGCUACAGGUGAGUGCAUUUGUAUGCCAUAUUUUAGAAUGAAUUACAAGAUCUAAAUAGUCGAAGUGAGGCUUGCGAACCCCCACUUAUGAUAUGCGAACCUUUACUUUUCCCUAGUGCAAAUUCUUGCAAUUUUGUUUGAACUGAGUAUCCAUGUUGUGCAAAAUUAAAUGGUAUGUGUAUAUAUAUAAUAUAUACGUAUAGGGGUUUUGUUAUUUAUAUAUAAUAUAUGGGUUUUGGUGUUAUAUGUAUAAUAUAUUUACGUGGGUAUGCUAUUCACAUAGUACAUAUAUAUGCGUGGUUUUGCUAUACAUAAUAUAUAUGUGUGGGUUUUAUUAUAUAUAAUAAAUAUGCGGUUAUAGAUUUUGUAUUAUCUAAUAUACAUAAAUGUAUAUGGGACUUUUAAUGUAUGUUAAAAUUGAAGUGACAAAGGUCACUAAAUAGGUCUGUGUAUAUAUGUAAUAUAUAUUCGUAUAUGGUUAUAUAGUACUUACGAAUGGACAUAAAAAUAAAAUAAUGUAAUGCGGACUUUAUAAGAUGUCAAUUCUAUUGAUAGUGCACAUUUAUGCAUGCACGAACCUGUAAGUGAAUUAUGAGUUUUAUGAUAUUGUGAGUUUUGAUUAGUGUAAAAUUAUAUUAUUGUGAAAUGCUAAGUGCGACCUCAAUAGUAGUGAGAGCCAAUUAUAUUGUGGAAUGAAAUGUGGUUAAUUAGAUAUGUUGGCAAUGUGAACACUUGAAACCGUUGGAUAACAUUGGCAUGCCAUAAGAUUGUGAGUACUCACCAUUUUAUUAUAUGUUGAACAUUGUGGCCCGAAGAUAGCGUUGUAGAGAUAAGGGAAUGUUGAACAUAGCUCAAUUAAUCGUAGAUAGUGUGGUGUAUUUGGAGAGUGUGAGCAUACGUGCUACACUUAUAUGGAGAUAGCAUAGACUCUAUGGGCCAUGUGGUGUGUUUUGGAAAUCUGUUUAUCCAAUGAGUAUAUAAUUUGCCCAUGUUUCAUAUUCAUGAAUGGCCAAUAUAUCACUGUGUUGAGUAUGUAAUUUGUGUUAUAUGUGAAUUGUUAAAGUAUGUCUAAAUCCUAACAUGUAUGAUGUGUAUAUUUGUGUUGUAUGCAUGUGUACUCACUGAGCUUCUCCAAGCUCACACUCCUUACUUUACAUUGAAGAUAAAUAGUUCGUAGGUUAGCGAAUAGGGUGGCAAAUCGGUGAUCCAUUACAAGCCAUUUUUUAAAGGAUGUGUGUGAGCUUUUAAACUCCGAAGUGAAGGCAAUGUGGGUUUCUCAAAGGGUUUAGUACUAGAAUUAGACUUGGACUUUUUAAAUAAAAUUUUUCACUGGUUGUAAACGAACAUUACAGACUUUUUUUUGGGAUUUUUUAAUGUUAUAAUUGCUUGCUUGAUUGCUUAUCUUAUCUAGAUGGUUCUAAGUACUUGUUGAUGAUAAUUAAAUAAACUAAUAAUUUUUUGCAGGUAAGGGAGACCACUAGGUAUUAAGGUACGCCUUAUACUUUCUGUUUGUGUGAAUGCAAUGAUUAAUUUAAAAAAGCAUGCAUUUAGGUCUAAUUUACUAUAUGAAAUAUUCUACAAAUGUGUGGUGUGUAUGGUUGGUGUGGUUCGUAAAGUUUUAAAUAGAAAGACACUUUGGUGGCUAAUGUGACGUUUAAACUUCGGGCCAGAUCGUUUCAGUCGGGUUUAGGGUAUCACAUUUAAUGGUAUCAGAGCCAGGUUUAUAAAAACACAGACCGAGAUACAAUUUCGACAAAUUAGCAUAUUUGAAAAUAUAAAUACAUUGAAUUUAGAAUAAAAUUGGAAAUGCUUAAACCUUUGUGAAAAAGUAACCUUGUAUGAAAAUUAGUUGUCAAUAGGGUAGGAAUGGGAACACAUUGACUUCUUUGAAAGUGUUUUCUUGAAAAAUUUCCUAGGAUAACUUGUCACUUGUCACUUUCCCGUUUUAUUUAAUUUUAUGUAAAUAGUAGAUAAAAUGCCUCCUAGUCCCAGCUAUCCGGCUAAGAAUGCACCAGUGGAACCACCCCCAAGGCAAGCUGCACCUGGAACUGGUUUCGAGCCCUUGGUUCAAGCGAUGAGUGGGGCGUUUCAAAGGAUAGCUGGUGGGAACCCUGCCGCAGCUACGAAAGGGUUGUCACUCGAACAACUCUGAGCUUUGGGUGGUAAAGAAUUUUGACGAGCUAAAUGAGCUGAUCCGACCAUUGUUCAAAAUUAGUUGGAGAGUGUUGAAAAGAUCCUUGAGCAAAUGGGAUGCUUGAAUAAUGAGAAGUUGGGUUGUACCAUAUCCUUACUAAACGGUGAAGCUCAUCGCUGGUGGAAUACAGUAAAGAGAGAGAUCAUUGAUGAUCACCUGUCUUGGGAGUUCUUUUUGGAGUUUUUCUUAAAUAAGUAAUUGGGAUAGUAGUAACUAGAUGCUAGAAGUAAGGAGUUUCUAGAUCUAGUCCAAGGAAAUAUGUCUGUGGCUAUGUAUGAGUUCGAGUUUGUGCGACUCAACCAGUAUGUUCCAGAGAUGGUAUUCUUUGAAAAGGAGAGGUGUAAUAGGCUAAAUCGAGACAUUCGAGUAUAUCUAGUAGCACAGAAGACUGAGGCCUUCGAUGAUUUGGUAGAGAAGGCUAAGGAAGUAGAGGAGACACUAAUCGAGCCACUGAGACUAGUUGUAUCUAAAUCCAAAAAGAGGGGCUCCAAUCAGUCAAGAUCGUCGAGAAGGCCAAGCAAGAAAGGUCGUGAUUUUCGAAAUUUUGAUGGGUGUUUGACGAGACUCUCAACCAAGCCAGACUGUACCACAGAGCACUACAGUAGUUUCUGAGAAUGGAUCAGCUGAGGUGGCAACUUGUGAGCAUUGUGGACGUGGGCACUCGAUAGUGUUUUGGAGAGUGUCGGGGGCGCAUCUACAUUGUGGGUUAAUGGAGCAUCGACUACAAGACUGCUUAAAGAGAUUUGAGUUGUCUCAAACUAUCGCACUUAUUAAAGGCCAAGGCUUUGGUGGUAACGGGAGAUCGAUGGGUCAGAGGACAGUUGGCAAUAUAGUAGUUGUAUUGACUGAGUUUUGUGGACCCACUCGUGUUUACGCUGUUAAAGAGCCGCAGAACCGUGAGGCAAUAGAUAUGAUUGUAGGUGCAUUCAUAUUGCAACCUUUUUCUUUAUUUUUGUUAGUAGAUUUGGGUUUCACCCAUUCGUAUAUUGUGAGUUAUCUGGUUGGUGAGUUGGGGAUUGUAACAACCCAUUUUCAGUGAAAUCAGAAUAGUGGUUUUGAGACCACAAAUCUGAUAAGUAAAUUAUUAUUUUAUUAUUUUAAUGUCUAUGGGAUGUUAUUAAAGUCGUAUUAAAAUUUCGUUAAAAAAUUUUGAUGUUUGUAUACUUAAUUAAGUGAAAAGGACUAAAUCAUAAAAAAAAGUACAAAAGUGGAGCUCUAUUAGUUAAAAGUGUCAAAUAGCUAUGAAACUUUAAACUGAAAGGGCUUAGGUGGUAAUUAGAUCAUUCAUGAAGUUAGUGGAUGUGCAUGGCGUGAUUUUGAUGAAAUUAUGAAUGUUUUUAAAGGACAAUAUCGUAAAUAAGUAAUUAAAGGUUAAAUUAAAUAAAUAAAGACUUAUCUUCUUCAUAUCAUCAAAAAUCAACCAGAAAUCACCAUUAGAGAGGGGUUAAGUAUUUGGCCAAGCUCUCCUAUUGCAUGUAAGUGAUUUUUGAGCUCGUUUUUAAUCAUUUUUAUAUUUUCGGGAUUGUUGUAGCUUAACCUAGCUAGCUCGAGGAUCAAUUUGUAAAAUUGUUAAAGAUUUAGGGUUAUUCCAUGCAUGUUCUUGCAUGAUUCUUGAUCUUUAAUGAUAGAUUAUGAGACGUUGUUAAUAAAUAAACAAGUUUUGUAAAGUGAUUUUUGAUGAAAAUGACAUUUAGGGACUUUUUUGUAAAAAGGAUAAAGUGUUUAAAAUGUUAAGGACUAAAGUGUAAAAUGUUAAAAUAUUAGGGGAAAAUUAAUAAUUUUGCAAAAAUGUGAAAUAUGGACUAAAUUGAAUGUUAGGAUUAUUAAAUGGAUUAAUAUUGUCUAUUUAGAUCAAGACAGACCAUGUACGGAUCUAGAUCGGGGAAAAGUGAAAGCCUCAGAUUAGUCUAUCUCUUUCUCACGCCCUAGUCGUCGAGGUAAGUUCGUAUGAUUAAACAUCGUUUUAAUGUUAUAUCAAUUUAUAUGUGUUAAUUGAUAUGAAAUUAAAUUAUGUUGAUCCAUAGUAAUGUUAUGAUAAUUAUCGAGUCCCGGUUGAACCUUAAGAAUUCGUAGGAUACAAAUGACAUGUCUCUAGGGAUUUCAUGUUUCGAGUGCUGGUCUUGAAUGUCCUACCGAUGGUUGAGGUUUUUCAUUUUUUGCGAUACUCCACAGCUCGUGUAAGCAGCAUCAUGUAGCUUACAUUCUGACGCACAUCUCUUGUGCGCAGGCCCAUUUUACAACUCGUGUGAGCAAUGAUGUAUAGGAAAGGUUACAAUUAUAUGUUUAAGUACACUUUGUGUGAGCUUUCCCGAGUAUCUGAUAAUAUUCUAGAUGAUUCAACGGGCAAUGAAAAGGAUUGAAAAGGUAAGUUCCUCAAGUGGAAUUAUGCAUAUGUUCAUGAAAAGAUGAAUGAAUCAAGUGAUAUAUGUUCACAUGGAAAUGAAUUUUGUCAAAAGGACUAAAUCGUGUAAAGUGCUAAAGUUGUGUUCUAUUAGAUAAAUGUGUUAAUUAGCUAUAGAACUUAAGAGUUGAGGUCCUUAUUGAGUAAUUAGACCAUUAAAAGAGAAAGUGGAUGCACAUGGAGUGUAAUUAUGAUGUUGGAUGGGUUUGGUUGGUAUUAGGUUAUUAUAUAAUACAAUAAACAAAAAGGAAUAAAAAUAUUAUUUUUAUUUCUUUGCUUAUCUUCUUCCACCGUCUUUCACCAAGAGAAUAGCCAUUGGAGAACUCAAAUUUUUAGCAAACUUAAACCCUUGCAUGUAAGUGAAAUUUAUGUUUGUUUUUGUUGAUUUAUAUGUUUUUGGAACCCUUGAAUCUUAAGCUAGCUAAAUAGGGGACUAAUUUGCAAGAUGAUUGAAAGGCUAGGGUUUUGGGCCAUAAAAGCAUGAUAGUUGAUUGUGAAGUUUAAUGGAGGAAAAUGAAACCUUGUUGUGUGUUGAACAUUUAUUGUUAAGUGAUUUUUAUUGUAAAAUGCUAUUAUGGGUUAAUUUGUAAAGUAUGAAGAUUUUGAGUUAUAUGAGUGAAAUUGGGGAUUAUAUGGGCUGCUAUGAGCACCUAAAUAAUUCAGUUAGUCUUUGAUGGGGAUGAAAUUCCAUAAAUUUUGUUUUAUGAGCCUAGGGACUGAUUUGUAAAUAUGUGAAAGUUUAGGGGCAAAACUAUAAUUUUGCCAAAGUAUGAAUUGUGGACUGAUUUGAAUAAUGUGACUAAUAAUUAAGCUAAACGUGAUAUUAUAGAUCAAAGAAAACGAGGUUUGGACCUAAAAUGGGGGGAACUAAGAAUUGACGGUUAUGUCCCUUUUUUCGCAUUUGGUGUCGAGGUAAGUUUGUAUGUAAAUAAUAUAUCGUUUUUACGUAUGUUAUAAUGUUUUUUUAUAUUACAUGAGAUGUGGUUGUAUAUUGAAUGAUUAUUUGAUGUAAAUUAUGAAUUGAGAUUGACUAUGGAUGAAAUUGACAAAGUGAGAAUAAGUGAGAAAUUUCCCGGUUGAACUUUAGAAUAAAAAAGGAUACAAAGGACGUCAUGAGAACUCAUGUGUAGUACUAUGUGUAGGCUACUAUGAGUAUAAGAUAGUUAUGGUCACAUGUGUAGUACUAAGUGCAGGCUACUAUGUGUACCAGAUAGCUUUGGUCAAGUAUGUAGUACUAUGUGCAGGCUACUACGUGUACCGGAUGGUAUUGGUCACGUGUGUAGUACUAAGUGUAGGCUACUAUGUGUACCAAAUAGCAUUGAUCAUAAGGGUGGUACUAUGUGCAGAACCACCAUGUAUCUAUUAUUAUUCCGAAGUGUUUAUCGGGAAAAUCGACUAAGUGAAAUUAUGUGUGACUAUGUGGUGAUAAGUGCAAGUAUAUGUAUGUGUAUACUCAUGAGCAAUGUGUUCGGUACGUGAUGAAAAUGUGGUAAAGUUGCAAAGAAGUGAAGUGAUAAAGUCUUGUAUCAUGCAUGCAAGUUGAAUUAUGUUAUUGAAUGUUGAGCAUAUUGUUAUGAUGUUUCAUGAAAGAGUGAAAUUUGAAAUAAAACAGUUUUUGACAACAACAGUUGUGUGAUUUUAAAAUAUCACCAAAAAUGGUGGAAAUUGAAUUAGAGGUUGAAUGAGAUGUGAAAUUAAAACUUAUUGGAUCUAAUUUCACAUAAAAGAAACAGAGUAGGCAAAAGAAUUUCAUAUUAUGAGAUAUUUUAAUUUUAGUGAGACAGAGUCAGAAUGAUUUUGGAAUCCCCUGUUCUAACUUUGGAAAAUUAUUAAAAAUUUUACAAAAAUAGUUAUGGCUUAGAAUUUAUAUGUUUAAAAUCCUAAAUGAGUUUAUUUUCAAGAGACAUAAAUGGGAACAUCAUCCAAAUUCUGUACGGGAAGAUAAUUAAUUUUUAGUGCAGAAAGGUUGAAACUGUCAAACAGCAGAAUAGGGGAAUUUUAAAGAAUAAAUUGUACUUAUUAGCGAGUCUAGUUUCAGGGAAAAUUUGUGAAACUUAAUUUGGAGUUUUGUAACUUACGAUAUAAAUAAUUUAGUGACUAUAACUUGAGUAGACAGUUAUAUACGAACUUGAGUAAAUAUUGGAACUUUGUGCUUUUAUGAUUGUAUUAUUUGGAGAACAUAUUGUGAACAUUGAUAAAAGCAUAUUAAUAAAUUGUUUAUUAUUUAUAUAUUAACUUACUAAGCUUUAUAGCUUACUCAUUUUCCUUUCUCUCAUCUUAUAGGUUUAUAUAGCUAGCUCGGGUUGGAGAUUGCCGAAGAUGCUAUCACACUAUCAAAUUAUCAUUUGGGUAUAAGUGAAUGCAAGUAUUUUAAGCUUAUGGCAUGUAUAGGGACUUUGUCUUUUGAAUUUUUUUGUCAUUGUUAAUGAGGCCAAAUGUGUUGGCCUAAUAUAGUUUAUGGUUCAAUUGGUAUACAACUAUGAAUGAUGGCUUAUGUUGAUUAUAAGCUUAUGCAUAUGUUAAUGCCUUGUGUGAAUGUGAAGCUAAUAUUUUUUUUAUAAUGAUCUAAAUAGGAUGAUUAAGACAAAUGAUGAUAUGAGGAUGAUAUGUUAUUAUCUUAUUUAUGGUCAUUUGCUUGCCUAAGUAUGCUAUGUGUGACCACACGGCCUACCCACAUGGGCAUGUCUCAAACCACACGGGCGUGUGGCCCUGUUUCAUGAUGAAAUUUUCUAAGUUUCCUAAAAGACCUCAAAGUUCUCUGUUUAGUCCCGAACUACUUCCAAUGUAUGUUUUGGGCCCGUGUAAGGGACGAUAUGAUUAUUUUUGAAUGGUUUUAAUGUAGAUUAAUUUUCAUGACUCGGAAUAGUAUGAUUUCUUGUGUUUAAGUCCUGUAACGCCUCAAACUCUGUUCAAGCAUUGAAUACGGGUAAGGGGUGUUACAAAAAUUCUUGCACACGAGGAAUAACAGUGUAACACCUUAUACCCGGCCUGGUUGCCAAGCCUAAAUAUCAGGAUUCCACACCAUUGUCUUAUGUCGUUCUCAUAAUAAAUUGACACAUUAUUAAGAAAUCAUCCUCUUUAUCAUUGGUCUUAUAAAUUUUUAGUCAAACAUAUAUCAAUUAUCAUUAGCACAUGCCGAACAUACUUUAAAUAAUCUUGUAAUAAUAAUUAAACAUGCAUAAGGUCUGUUUAGCAAAAUCUCAAAAUUGACCACGUAGGUAUCGAUAUUGAAGGUGAGAUAUAGAUAAUUCUCCCAAGUGGUGUCGAUAUCGCUUGAAAAAUCGGUACCAAAACUGCUUAUUGUUUCUUGUUUAAAAAACCAAACCUCGAAAAUUAUCGGUACCUUUGCCAAAGUAUUGAUAUUUCUAUCCCGAGUAUCGCUUGGAAACCACACCGCUUACACUGACACACUACUAAUCUACAAUGGUUUAAGAUGGGAGUGGGUGAGCUUAACAAGCUCAGUGAAUGCCUAGAACAACUACCAUGCAAGUAAUUCAUCAAGCAUCAAUGAAACAACUAUGUAGAACAACCUCAACAGUUCCAACACUAGUAUCAUAAUAUACUUAGUCGUGCAUUAUUACUAGUUCAUUUUGAUGGUAAUCAUAUUCACUUUUAAGCAUAUAUCACAUUACACAUAUAAUCACAUAACAUUUAAGCAAAUAUCACAAUACUCAUAUAAUCACAUAAAAUUUAAGCAUAUAUCACAAUACUCAUAUAAUCACAUAACAUUCAAGUAUAUAUCACAAUACACAUAACAUGUUUAUAGAUAAAUUGUAUAAUGGUCACAUGUACUAUAAACACACAUCACAAUACACACAUAUUCAUAAUUUAAGAUAAUUUGACACUUGAACUAUGAAACAUAAAAGUGAGCUCUAUCAUCACUCAUCGAGUACAUGAAUCUCCAACACACCACAUAGACUCAUAGAGUUAAACAUGUCCUAAAAUUGAAGCAUAAAACUAACACUCUCUUUAUUUCCCCUCACAUGUCUCGUUGAAUGGAGCUUAGCUCACAUUCCCUUAUUCUUCCAAGUGUGAAUGCCCAAAAUCACUGUACAUAUAGGUGAGUACUCACAAUCCUAUGGAAUGCCAACUAUAUCCAAUGGUUUCAAGAUCACAAGGCCAAAAUAUCCAAAACAAACAUAUAUCAAUUACCAAUUAUCCGUGCACUAUCACUGCAUAUUUGCAUUUUUAGCAAAACACUAUCACUAACAUUUAUCAUAUACAUAACAUGUACACAGUUGCACUUUCACAAUAGUUAUCAUAUCCACAUAUCACAUGCUAUAGCAUCUCAUCCAAAUUCAAAUAUUCACAUUCGCAUAAGUACAUAAUUCAUAAGAUAAACAUAAUUAUGAGAAAACUUACACUCAGAAUUUAGAGUAAGGGUUUAGGCUACUACUAAAUUUCCAAAUAGCGCAUUGAAUCAUGUCCACAAAUAAUUAUUCCAAACACUCACCAAUACACUUUCACCGAAAUACCAAAAGUUGAAACUAGUUUUUCCUUGCCUUUAUCUCUACUCGUAGAAGGUCCUAUCGAUUCCAAUGCUUCAACAAAGUAAAUCACACAACAACAUAAUGAACAAUCAGCCAAAGACUCACAUCAAACAAUCCAAACACACAAUCCUAAGCUAGGUUCUCUUUUGACCGAAACCUUCGACAUAGAAAACUUAAAAUUCGAAUAUCACCGGCUAUACUUAAUCUUUUUGCCUAAAACCAAUUCCGUUCACCUUAUAACUCGACCAUGGCUAAUGGCUAAUUCCAAACCUUUAAACUACGCAAAACUACUCAAUUCAUAGUAUCGACUUUUCCAACAUGUCUUAUGGCUAUUUUUUGAAAAUUCAUUAAAAUUCAUGAAAUCUUUAAUGAAACUUCAAAGUAAGUUUAGAAACCUUCUAAAUACAUCAAAACUAAUUGAAAAACACUUUGAAAACAUGUUUUUACUCAAAAUCUCGAAAUCCAUCAUUAACCACCCAAUUUUUUACUUCAAAAGAUGUGAUUUAAUGGCUAAUAUUUCAAUUUAAAGGACUAAAUAACAUUUAAAACUAACUAGAAGUUGAAUCGCUACCUUAGAUGAUGAAAAUCUAAGUGUUUGAUCGAAAAUCUGAAAGCUUGAUAAUGGAGAAAUCAAUAGUGUUUUCGGGUGUUUUUCUUAACUUCUAUGGAGGUUUAUGACUAGGAGGAUGAUAGAAAUCAAAAGAAUAGAGUUUAGGAAUCAAAAUCGAUUGAGAGAGGCUUCUUCAAACAAGGGACGAUAGCACACAAUAUUGGGGAAGAGACUAACGUAAAAUUUAUAGGUGGGAGAUGAUUUGAGGUUGAUUUUUAAAUUUUGGCUUAAUUUCCUCUUAAAAACUCACAAUUUUGACUCUUUUACAAAUCAGUUCUUUUUCUAAAAUUAAAGGUUUCUAAAACACUUUUUCAAAAAUUGAUUUGACCUUUGAAAAACCAUAAUAAAAAAAACAUUACCGAUAUACCAUGUCGCAAAAUUUCGAACACUCUAAGGCUAAAAUUCCUAAAAUACCCUUGAAACUCCUAGGCCCUAUUUUGGGGUGUUACAACUCUCCCCUCUAAAAAGAAUUUCGUCCUUGAAAUUUUACCUACUGACACUUCACUUGCUUAAUAACAAAAUAUGCUACUUCUACUUUUAAACUAACUAUCACACUUUCGCUGCGCACUCUGAUUCCUAUUAUCUCUAACUUACUAUUUUUCUUAAUGAUUCUAUUCAUUACCACACACUAUUCUACACUAACUUUCCGAACAAUUCCCUUUACUCACUACAACACUCUCGUCUAAAGGACUCGUAACCAUUUUUCCAAAUUCACUAGUCUCUAUCAGGAUUCUCUACUUAUUAGCUAAUUCACUUAAAUUUUAUGAAGGCAUAAAACCUAAUUCUAUUAACGAGAAUAAAAUAUGUGAUUACAAGGAAAAAAUACCCUCAAUCUCAACAUUCGAAUCUUGAUCCUUUGGUUCCUUAAUUGCAUAAACCCAAGCUAGACCUCUAGACUCAACCCGCGUGGCAAAAGUAUGAUUAACAACUCACUAUCCAUUCGAUCUCCCAUUACUUCUACCAUGACCACGACCUCUAGCAGGUGUAGAUAGUAGCGCAAAACUCUGAGUCUGUGAGACCUUAAAUCUGUUUAGGAAAUCCCUCAGAAAAUGUUCUUUCAAACCACACUUAAAACAACCACUUGACAAUUGAUGGCACUCAACUGAAUGCCUACGCUCACCAUGUACAAAAAGUGGCCAUCCAAAACCACCCGUUGAACCACCAAUACCUACUACAAUGCUAUCUUGCUACACAAAGCUGCCAUCCAAAACCACUCGUCGAACCACCAGUACUGAGAUGCCAACAAAAUUCAAUUAGGCAAUCAUGUUAUUGGUUGCCAACAUGUGGAGCUACCGGGAUUGCACCCGCAUUAAAUGUUUCUAACAUUAAUAUCUUUCGAACUAUUUUGUUAUAUGGCAUUUUGCAGAGUAAACAUAUUUGUGCAGGACGGUGGAUUGUCAAAGAAAUGAAACGCUAUGUUUAAAGCCAAAAAAUUGGACUUUACUUCCCUCAUUUAGUGACAGUAUUAUGUAGAAAAGCCAAAGUUCCAAAAAGCGAGAGCAAACAAUUCAUGAAGCCAACAAAGUGCAUAAUUAGCGACACAUUAUAUAGGCAAUAUGCUGAAAUUCAACGAAAGAAAAUAACAGAAUGGAACCAACGGAGAAAAGAAAAGAUGGAUGUUUCGGUAUCGCUCAAAAGGAAAGAGAAGACCAUGGUUCGAAGAGGAAGUAGAGGGAACAUGAAGGAGAAGUUGGAUGGGAUGAUUCGGUGGAUGUAGGAAAAAGUCCCGUGCUCUAAGAAUUUACAAAGAUGAACGGGUUACGCACUCUGAAUUGUCCCCCAGAUAUGUUUAGGGUGACUCCAACUCACUUGGAUGAGGGGGCUAUUCUUUAGGAGGAAGGUGCUGCUCGGUAGUAUCUUAGAAUGAAGGAUGAAUACGAAGCGACAUUUCAGUUGCAAUUUUCUAAAGUAAAUGGGCCUGCCAUACAAAGCCUAACUCACCUUGCGCCUUCAACGGGUGAGAGCUCUCACCAAACACAUGUCAAAGGAAAGGGCAAAGCUCCAAUGGAUAUUAGACGAUCACCAUAUUGGGAUGAGGAGGCGAAUGGCUGAGCAUUUUUUUUCGAAAGACUUGUAUUAAUGAUUCUAAUUUAGACUUUGUAGGAGUAUGAUUAAUAAGUAAUUUUUUUUAAUUCUGCUGCAUUUUGCGUUUAAGUUUUCCAUGUAGGAAUCCAACAUGAAGGUGACACAAAUAGUUCAAACUUUAUAUGAGCAAAGGAGGAAGCAACCACUAAUAAGUGCUGAAGCGACCACGAUCAAUCGGGUAACUUCCUUCCUUAUCUUUUUAAGGGCUACACAUUGAGGACAAUGUGUCAACUAAAGUGUGGGGGUAACAAAAUUUUUUUUAAAAUUUUUUCAUUGAUUUUCCUUGUCUUUUGUGUGCUUGAGCUUGUAGAAACACAAGUGAUUAGUUAUGAGUAUGUACAUAGGUUGCUUAUGUUUAUGAAUAAAUUUAGAAUGAUGAUAGGGUAUUUUAAAUUUUUUGUUAUUAGACUACUAAUGUUCUAUAUGUUACAUUGUAAAUAGGCAUUAAGUAAUCAACUGUACCAAGUAAUAUAGAAAAUAAAAGGAAACAAGUAUGCUAGUAUGAAUGAUAAAUGGUUGAAUUUGAGUUUGUUUGGUUGACAAAAUUUGUGCAUGUUGAGAUAUUUAGGGAUGACCUAAGGCAUUGUUUGGAACUCAUCCAAAGUGAAAAAUUCAACCUAUUAAUGUUCACCUUUAGUACAAAUUUUUGAGCCUAUUGACACUUCUUAAUAAACCUUAUUACAAACCUCAAGCCUAAAAAUGUUAAUUUGUAUUUGCCUUUUUUUGUUUGGUCCUGCAUUGCACGAUUAUAAAUGUCUAGCCAUACGUAUUGAAGGUUAAGAAGAUAGAUUAAGGCAGAGUUUAUAAAAACAGAGUGAAAUAGGAAGGAUUAGUGUGAUAUGGGGACUAUAGGUUAGCAUGAAAAGUGCAAAAUAAAAGAAAAUUCUGAAAAAAAAAAACAAAAGUAACACAAGUAGAAAAAGUUCUCAAAAAAUAAAAAGCAUUCUUGAGUGAGAUGAGCUGAAAAAGAAAGCGAUAAAGUCACAAAAGAAAAAGAAACUCAUUCAUUAGUGCACAGAAACUCGUAGGCUAGCUAUAGUUACUAUGUCUCUCUAUGAUUUUCUCUACAUGGAGAGACAAGGAAGGUGAGGGAAGGAGAAAUAAGGCAGUGAGUGGGUAAGUUUCACUAAGGGGGAAGAAUAGGGAUCAAUACAAUAUGCCAAACUAUUUUUAUGUUUGUAACCCUUUUGAUGCUCACUAUUUUUGAAUUCCAUACCUAUCUUAAGCCUCAAAACGCUACAACCUGAAAUGUCCUAUGUGACCUAAUAUCCUUAUACAUGAAUGGACAUCAUACUGAACAUAUGCAUAAAGUGACUAUUUGUAUUCUACUUGGAUAAUCAAAGUACUCGUAAGAUUUAUUGAUGGAGCCCUACAGGUGAGACCCUCAAUGCUUGUAUAUUUUGUAAUAUACUGAACUUGGAUGUUUGUGAUCAAAACUGGUAAGUCAAUUAUUCAUCUUGUUAAAGUUGUUAGUAAGCAUAAUAUGCCUAAGUCAUAUGUUGCGACUUCAAUACCUGUAUCAUAUUCACUUAAGGGUCAUCAUUUUUAUUUGUAAUUUUUUAUGUUGCUUGAGGACAAGUAAUGACUUAAGUGUGGGGGAGUUUGAUUUGCUCUAAUUUGGUGCAGUAGAUUAAAAUAGUUUUCACAUUUAAGGAGCUUGAAUACAAGAAUUUUUGUGAUGUUUAAUUUAAGGUUUCUUAGUUUUAUUUAUAUUCAAUAAAAUGUACAAACUGAGUCUUUUAUUGACCUUAGCGGCCGAAUGAAGCCUAAGGGAGAGCUAACACACUUUGUAAGUGUGCAGGAGACUUUUAGAAGUAGUAUUAAACCGAUACUAGUUGAUAUGUCACCAUACAGGAUGUUCGAUGUCGCAACAUAGGGAGUAGAAUAGAGAAAGUUGAAGACUGCCUUCGAUUUCGUGACACAGGCUGAGGGUGUCGUGACAUACCCCUGCAAAUAGCUGAAGAGGAGUAUAUUGAUUGCUAUUUCACGACACAGGCCCCUAUAUGUCGAGACAUCGACUCUGUGAUGAAAAUUAAACAUGAACCAAGAGCGUUUUGGUCUGCACAAUCAAACUUAAAUCUCGGGAGCAUCAACUAACCUAGGGUUAAGGACGACGACCACCUGAAGGCUAUAAAUAGGAUCAUUUGUCACUUGUUAUGGACACCAUUCCUUUAGCUUAGAUUCUCUAUGCAAAAUUUAGUUUAGUAUUUUCUUUCAUUCAUAGGUUUCAAAUUUAUUUUAAUUGUUCUUGUUGAUUUUAAGAGAUCUGAAUUGUAGAAGCAUUUGAACUUUGUGGAUUCACGAUUAAUCUCAAUACAAUCAGGCUAUUUCAUUUAAUCUAUCUUGUCGAUUUAAUUAGCAUGGUUUCUCUUUACAUCGAUUAUAUAUUUGCUAUGAAAACCUUGAGGAACUAAUCCUCUAUGGGGGAUUAGGGAGUGGAGGUAUGAUCUGUUAACUGUUUUGUAGGCUUACUUCACAGAUCAGCUGUUUGGGAAAGGAAGAAUGUGAAACAAACCCUAGGCUUGACAACCCCGGGAAGUCAUCAAGGUGGGAAUUAACCCAAAAUUGGUAUGACCCAUCUAUGAACACCUUUACCCCAAGCCAGUUUGGAAUAUGAGGUCUGAAGAUAAGUAGUUCUUGCUGACUCGUUAUGUUAGUAGAAGAUCGUAAGAUCCUGCUAGGAUAGCGACUAGUUGAUUGGCAAGGAACACGAAACAACAGUUGAUGGAGAUUAUCGAAGUGAGCCAAUCACCCAUAAUUAAGAUUUGAUUUAUUCUCCAUUUUCUAUCUCUGGAAGUCAAUUUCGUUUAUGUUACUUUGCCUUUAUUAUUAUAGAAACCCUAAAAAGCUUUUUCUUUAUAUUUUCGUACUAUAAAUAAUUUAAAAGUAUUAAUUAGAUAUUUUAGUGUUUAGUUUAUAAUUAGUCUGGCAUUUACUUCCUUUAGGUACAAUCCUCGGAGUACUCACCUACUUCAUUGUAAACCUAUAUUACAACUCGACCCGUAUACUUGUGGAAACCGCCUUGUUUUUUUAUAUUUUAUUGUAUUAUUCACACUUUGGACGUUAGCAUGUUCGGAGGCGGUCACUGAUCUUGUUGGUGACCACAUUUAAAAAUUUCAGUUUCACCAUUAAUCUUCAUGGUUAAUUCAUUUUUUCCAGGUUAAUGGUGGAUUUUGACGUUACGAAGAAUGGUCUGCCUAACAAGAUGGGUAUCUCACGAUCUUCUUCAAAAUUGAGCAUUACAAAAUCUACUGGGAUGAUGAAGCUAUGCACUUUGACUAACACAUCUUCCGAUACUUCUUUUGGAUGUAUGGAAGAUUUGUUUGCCAAUUGUAAUGUGAUUAAAGUGUUCUUGAGGUCCCCAAACUCGAGUUUUUUGGAUAUAGAUAAAGGCAUUAGAUUUAUACUAGCUUCCAAAUCACAUAAAGCUUUACUAAAAUGAAUAUCCCCUAGCUCCAAAAUCAUAUAAAACUUCUCAGAUCUUUUAGUUUUUAUGGAACCCGUCUAGAUAUAUCACACUAUAUGAGGUGUUUAUAUUAACUUGCUUUCAUGUUUUAAUUUUCCUACACCUAAUCAUAGUUUCUUUUAAGAAUUUAGCAUAUUUAGGGACUUUUUUGAUUAAAUCAAUAAGAGGCAAGUUAACAUUUAGAAUUUUCAAUAAGUUCAAGAAACUUACAAAUUCAUCUUCAUCCCAACUUUGUUUUUCCUCCAACCGUGAAGGGAAUGGUAUUGUUGUCAUUGCAAGUUUUUCGAUGGACUUAUCUUUCGGCUCAACUGCUGAUUUGGUUAUCUCCUUUGGUUCUGGUUAUUCGUCAACUUGUUGGGGGCUUCUCGAAGAUUUUCAACAUUCUCUUUGGUUCCCUCGUGUGUCAGGGUAUCUAGGCUACUCAGUAUUUUGUCCGAACUGCGCAUAAUUGCUUUCACAUGCUCUUUCCCUUCCUUCAAGGAUUAUCUUUAGUAUUACUAGGAAUGUCAAUGUAAAUUUGUAUCUUAAUAUCUCCCAUCAUACUCAUCAAUUGUCUUAUCUAACCUUCUAGUUUAGUCAAUGUUUUUGCAGAAUUGGUGCACUUAGAUUGCACCUGUUUCACGUUUGUCCUCGUUGACUACAUUUCCCUAUCAAUUCGUUCCAAGCAUUGACCACAUACAAUAUGGUCAUUUUGGUUUGCCCUAUCCUAAGGCUUUUGUAAUUAAGGAGGUUGAUAAUUAGCAUUUUUAACUUGGUUAAGAUUAUUACCUCCUCCCUGGUUUCCGCCCCAUCUCAGGUUUAAGUGAUCUCUCCAUAUGGGAUUAUAAGUAUUUGAAUAAAGAUUUCCACCCCUAUUCUCGGUGUAAUUCACACCCUCAGUAGAAUUAUUAAUGUAAUGGAAUAGAGGUUUUUCUCCCCCAUAUAUAAAUGAUGCACUGAAUGAAGAUUCUAUACAGUUUAACCUAUCCACCGUCUGUUGGUAUAUAUCAUCAUUUUAAAUCGCUUUGACUGUAGAUGGCUUUUGGUCGUAUGUGUAACGUUCAGUUGGCUACUGGUAGGAAUUCAUCGCCAUGUUCUCUAUUAAUUCAUAUGCAUUAUCAUCUGUCCUAUUCAUUAAGGCUCCUUUUGUGGCUUCAUCCAAUCUUAGUCGUGUGUGUGCAUCCAACCUGUUAUAGAACAUUUGCAACCUAUGGUGUAGGCAUCUCUAAAUUAACGUUUCAAAAUGCUUAUAGGCUUCGUGAAAACUUUCUCCUUCCAAUUGUUUAAACGUUGCAAUCUCUCUCCUUAGUUGGAUCGUUUUGCUGAUAUGGAAGAACUUCUGUAAGAAUUUUCCUGUAAGUUCAUCCCAUGUCGUAAUAAAUGCUGGUGCUUGUGAAUCUAUCCAAGAGAAAGCUUUAUCUAUUAAGGAGAAGGGGAACAACCAGAUACAAAUAGCGCCAUCGGUGACCUUGUUGUAUUUAAAUGUAUUACAAAGUUGAAGGAACCAUUUUAAAUACUGAUUUGGGUCAUUCGUCAUUGUGACUCUAAACUGCAAAUUGUUCUGGAUCAUCUGAAUCAUUGCUAUUUUGAUCUCAAAAUUAUUAGCUGUGAUGGCUGGCCUUGUUUUGCUUCCUUGAACCAUCUCCAGACUUCGUAGCGCAUAAUUCCUUAGGGUUCUUUUGUUGUGUCAUAUGUAUAUUAGCGAGUAACUGUGGUGGUGGUAGAUCUUCUGAGUUAUUAUUGUUAACUUCAUCAAACAACGAAUUAUCUCGUGGUAGUAAAUUACCUAUAGUAGGUGACGAUUCUUACGAAUUAUUCUUUCUGCAUCUGUGGUUGGGUCUAUACGUGUUCCCCUACUACGAGUCGUACACUAAACCCAAAGAAAGAAAUAAAGAAGUUAGCAAACAUAAGAGAAUAAAAUUUUAUCUAUAAUUUAGGAAUUUCCUAAUUAUUCUAUUAACUACACAAAUUAAAAUCAAUCUAUUGAUGCUGCCUCCCCGGCAAUAGCAUCAACAACUUGAUUGCCUUCGGACGUAAGAAUGUUUGAAGUAUAAAUCCUGCACAAAAUAUGUUAAAUAGGUGGUAUCCGUAAGUAUAUAGGUCAUGUUGUAAUAUAGUUACAACGAAGUAGGUAAGUACUCCGAGGAUCAUACCCAAAGGAGGAGAGCACUAAAUUAAUUCAAACUUAAACAAAAGUAAUUUUAAUUAGUACUUUAAAAAAUUAUAUUACGACUAAACAUAAAGAAAGAGUUUUUUAAUAGCUAAAGAAAUAAAAUAAUAUAAAUUGAAAACGUAGGGAAAUUUGCUAUGGAAACUUAAUCAGAUCUGAGCAUGGGUGACUAGCUCGCCUCGAUAAUCAUAACUAACUAUUGCUUUGAUUUUCCUAUUCAAUCAACUAGUCGUUACCCUAGCUGGAUCUCUCAAUCUUCCACUAGAGCAAGAACUACUUAUCUCUUGACCUCACGGGUCCAGACUAGUUAGUGGUUAAGGUGUUCACGGAUAAACCGUACCAAUUUUGGGUUAAUUCCCACCUAAAUGGCUUCCUAAGGUCGUCAAACCUGGGGUUUAAAUUCUUACUUUCCCAAACAAUUGAUCCACUUAAGAAAGCCCUACACAACAAUCAAUUAAUCAUACCUCCAUUCACUAAUCCCCCACAAGAGGAUUAGUUCCUCAGGGAUAUUGAAAACAUAAUAAACUUGAUGUAAAAGAUGAACAUUAAUAAUAAAAAAAUCAACAGAUUAAGGUUUAAAAGAAGCCUGAGUUGUAUUUAAAUGAAGCACGAAAUCCACAAAAAUUUGAUCAAGAUCCAAAAAUCAAAUCUCCCAACAAAUGUAAAACUGAAAGUAUCUUAAAGUCUAAGAAAAGAGAAAUACUAAAAAUUGAAAUUAUGAGGAAAAUUAUACAAUAUGAAAAGCUGUCUCCAACAAGUGUUAAAUGAGCCUAUUUAUAGAGUUAGGGUUGUCGUCAUCCUCAAACCUAGGUCAGAAGACGCUCUCGUGUUUAAUAUUUGAAUGUGCAGACCAAAAUGCCCCCGUUUCUUAAGUAUUUCUCAUACAAGAUUAGUGUUGCGACAUCGAAGGCAGUAUGUUCGUACUGAGGGGUGUGUCACGACAUCCCUUGGUAGUGUCGAGACACUGAAGGCGGUCUUGGAAUUCUUGCUCUUUACUCCCUAUGUUGCGACACAGUGACCAGUAUUGAGUUGGCACUCCUUCUAAUGGUCUCCUGCAUACUCACAAAGUAUUUUAGCUCACCCCUAGGCUUCAUUCAGCCCCUAAGUCAAUAAAAUAUUCAAAUUACACUUUUUAUUAAAUAUAAAUGAAUUUUAGGAAACUUAAUUAAAACAUAAUAAAAUGCUUGUAUCCAAGCUCCUCAAGUGCCAAAACUAGUUUAAUCUACUACAUUGAAUUACAACAGAAAAGACACACUUAGGGGAGAAAAUCAAGGAUUCCCUUGUUAAAAAUAACAAUAGAGGUUGGGAGUUAGAGGCUAUAAAAUGAGGCUUCAUUUUCAUUCAUGACACAUCAUUGAGCACACAACAUUCGACAUCAUUUUUCUACUAAGUGUUCUUACCUUUCUCAUAGCUUGCUAAACACUUGAUUCCAUAAAUUAAGACAACACUUGCUGAAAUAAGAGUAGCUGGGAAGGAUGACUUGAAGGCAUUUACAUGAUUUAUCAUAAAGACAAGGAAGAGAGCUACCAUGGGAAGCCAUAAGGAGAGUCACAUAUAACCUCCUGCAGUCAACUGUUUCCUCUUCUUAUUGUGAAAUGGUUGUGGAUAAACCCUUCGACUACUCUUUCUUUCCUAUCUAUUUACUGUUAAUUAUUGUUUUAUGUGUCGAAAGAUAAGAGUACAUCUCAUCUUUAUGUUUUCACAUGACUUAAUUUUUUUAUUCAGAAUGAAUAUGAAUCUUGAUUUUAGUUAACUCGUUUUUGUUUUUUGAGUAUUUUGUGCAAAUGAUUAUUUUAUUCAUUUAGAUUUGAUUCAUGAUUAUACUUGUAAAUGUGUGACCAACAUUUGUAGGUUAAUGAAUUAAUUGUUUAAUCUGAGAAGAGGUAAUAGUUAGUUUACAAAAGACCUAAAUAGUGCAUAUCAUGUUGAUAUCAAAAGAUGAUUAUUGUAUGCAUAAACUGUGUAAAUGCCCUAUAGGGUGAUUUCUAGGUUAGUUUUGACAUAGACAUAUGCUGAUUAACUUAGGGAUAUAAUAGUACUUCUGAAGAAGCUUAUGAAUUAAUUAAGAUAGGGUUUAAUGAAUUUUAAUAUUGCCAUGAUCCUUUCAUGAUAUUCUUUUUAUAAAAGCCAAUAAACUCUUGUUAAGUGAAAUAUUUAUUUUAGUCUAUUCAUGUUUUUUUAUAUUAAAUCUUGUAUUUAUCUCGCCGUUGUGAUUAUUUGUCUGUAAGAUGUGUUGUUUUGUAGGUAUUUUACUUCUGAUUACAUUCCUUAACUUAAAUUUUGACUCUCAUCUGUAAUAUUCUUUUUUAUUUGUUUUCUUCCAAAUGGAUUAUAGCUGAAUUUACAAAUAAUUUACACAACAGUCAUUGUGGAGACGAUACUCUUUACUUACUACUACUUAUUAAUUGUACAAUUGUGUACACUUGCACGUAAUCAUGCAAUACACUCAUACCCGGAUUCAAUGUUCGGGUCGAGUAAAGGUGUUAAAGAAGGUUUGCAACAAGUCAAUUAGUUCAUCGAUUGUUAAACUUUCAUGAUCCAUAGCCUCCUCUAUAGUAGUGACCUUGAUGGAGAAUUUUUCUAGAAGAGAUCUUAAAACCUUCCUAAUCAAUUUAGUGUUGGAAUAGUCUUCCCGCAGAGCAAUUGCCUGGUUUGACAGAUCAUAGAGUUUUGAAUAAAACUCACUUUGUAACACACCAAACCUAGCCUAGAUGUUACGAUCGAAUCUUGAGAAAUUACAUAGACUCGCUUUAAACUCUAAUUUUUUGAACUCGAAAACAUGUGCCUUUCCAACAUUAAUUUUGGUAAAUCACUUUCCAGGUUUUAGAAAAGUACUCGUUAAAACUAUUUAUUUCAUUACAGAAAAACACUUAAGUGAUUAAUUUAUUUUGUAGUGAAAAUUUCUAGGUUAUUAAAUUUUUGAAAAUCAUGAUUUAUAAAAACCAAUAAUUUUUCGGUUUAAAAAUAAUAAUUACUAAAUCAACAAAGGAAAAUAAAAAAAAACAAAGUCCCACAAUAGUUUAUAGACCAAAAAGCCCAAAAAAAUAUAGAAUAGUUUGAAACAUAAAGCGUCUUAUUAUUAACAAAAAAGCACUCCGAGCUCCUAUGCGCUGCCCGAUCCUAGAUUUGCUGAUUACAUGAGAAGUCAAAAAUAAAGGGUGAGCUAACAAGCUUAGUGUGUAACUUAGCCCAUAAAAGCAUAACAUAUAGCACAAUUCACACAGAAGUCAGAUACUGAACAAAAUACACAACAUGGCAUAUGAUACAAUGUAACAUAAUUAUCAGAUCAGAUAUGGAUGGCAUGGCAUAUCAUGCGAUGCAACACUUAAUACAAAACAAAUAUAAAUUCUACCCCUAUCCACUACACACCAUCUAUGUCCAUCCCUACACACCAAUUAGGGUAAUAAAUACUUAUUCAACCCUUACACACCUAUGAGUGAACGUAUGUCACUUUUCAGAAUAGUGUAAUCAAGUUACCAAAAAUAGUGUGGUAAUCUGCCAUAAUUAGAUAAAUGUGGUCAAGUCACAAUAAUAUAUAUGUGGUUAAAACCACCACAUAAGGAAGAUCAUUAAACUGUCAACACUUCCUCCAUCACAUCAUUAUCCCACCCCAACGCACAUGUAAACACUAACUAGACAAUCAGGUACACAUAUAUCAUACAUGUUUUACACAUCAAUACAUGCUAACAUGCUUGUAGAAGUCAUACAUUCAGAACUAGAAUAUCAUAUUUCAAGUAUCAAAAUCGUAUUUAUCGCCUAACAAACCCUACGAAAUAGUUAACCUCAAUACCAACUUCAAAUUACAGCCAUAAUUAGAGUUUUCUAAAAAUGGGCCCACACACUCUUGUGGCCUAUACGACCUACUUGGACCAGCCCGUGCGGCCCACACGAUCUGGCACACAGCCUAAUAAAUGCCCAUGUGGCUUACACGGCCUACUUAACCUAGUCCGUGAGGCCCACACGGCCUGACAUAUAGUUGUGUGAGUGUAACAUCAACAGUGGGUUUCUUAGUUUCACAAUGUUCAUUGGUUUUUACGAGUUCAAGUCACACAGUUGGUCACUUUUUUAUGCCAACACAACAACCAUAAUUCCAGCACCUAAAAAUGACAUUCAGCUUAAUGAAUUAGCAAAUAAAACGAGAAUCGAUUAAGAGGAAAUGAAUUUUGUUUCCUAAAAUUUUAGCCAAAACAAUAGGGCAUUUGACUCUAACAACCAAAAUAUCCCCUAAUUGGGCAUUCGAUUACUUACUCUUGACAGAACAACAACUUCCAAUAGAAUCUAGAUCGCUAGAGGUUCAGACGUCUCAUGAUCUUCACCUAGAAAACCAAACACAGUUAAAAAGCAAAGUUCAUAGAAGACAAAAAUGUCAAUUGUGCACAAGAAAAACUAAAAACUUUAUCAUUGGAAAAACAACAAUACUUAAACUAAGAUUUAAUUACGACCAACUCUAUUGAAACACCACACAAACAAUCGCAAAAAGAGACAACAGUACAAAAAGGAAAAAAACAAUGGCAGAAAGGAAAAUAAUAGAAGAACAAGAAGAAAAGAGAAGGAAAAAAUUAACGUAAGAGGAAGAAUGGAAAAGUGGGAAGGUAAGUUGGGAGAGAGAGGGAAAGUAGGAUAGAUUUUCGGGGAGGAAUUAUCUCAAAAAAUUAAAUAAAAUUUAAAAACAAAAUCCUAAACUACCAGAUUUUUUGCUAACUUAACAAUUUAAGUAGAGUUUGAAUUUGGCCCAAUUACUAACCACAUGGGUAGCACAGACAGGAAAUAGUAAGAAGAAUCUCAUUUUUGCAUACAUAGGAUUAGAACACGAGACCUCUGGGUAAGCUAAAGCCUUACCACUGAACUAGUAGACUCAUUCUUGCUAACAGUUGAGCAAAAUUAAUGUAUAAGCCAGAAAUUCAAAUAUAGGGGCUGGAAUAAAAAUAAAUAAAAUUCAAGGGAAAGGAUUCGAACAAAGGAGCUUAGGCAUAUAAAUAGAACUCUCAACCACCAGAAUAGAUUAAUUUACUUGACAUAAUUUAACAAUUCCAAAAAUAAAAAUUUUGGUGAGUUAUGUACUUAUGGUUUCAGCUUCUUGCACUUCUACAAGCAUUUUGAUAACACAAAACAAAAUAGGGGACAGUCCUAAAAUUGUGAUACUAUAAAAAUAGUAAUAAAUCAAGAUGAUUUACAAUUGAUUUCUCGAUAAAGUAAAAUAAGGAAAUGAAAGUGAUAAAAGAUAAGAUUGAAAGUAUGUUGUGGUAUACUAAAGUAAAGUAAGGACUAAAUCGCAAAGAUGUAAAAAAUUUUAAGGUUCAAGUACAAUAAUUUGAAAUUUGAAGGGUUGAGCAUAAAUAUGAGAAAGUUGAACGACCAAAAGUGAAAAUAACCCAAUUUCUUAUAACAAUAGAUUGGUGUGCAGGGAUCAAAUUGAAUAAGUGGAGAAAUAAAAUGGACUAAAUUAAAAUUUUACCAAAAGUGAAUAGUGAUUCAAGGAUGGAAUUUUGAAGAAAAAGGGUAAAAUGGUCAUUACCUAGAUUAGAUAAUUAUAUGGUGUAAUAAAUAAGGAAGAAAAGUAUUGAAAUAUGAUUGAUUGAAUAUUUUAUAAGAUAUUUAUUAAUAUUUUAUUUAAUUAAAAUUAGUAUAAAAAGAAAGAAAGAUAAAUAAAAUUCUUCAUACUUUCACCAUGCUUCUAACGUCCAUGAAAGAGAGAAACAAAGAAAGAAAGUUUUGCUUUCUUUACAAUUUAGUUAUUUGUCAUCAAAAUUCACCUUUUUCACUCAAAAAUGUUAAAAAUUUUCAUAGCCAUCAAAAAGAAAAAGUAAAGUAGAGACACUGGAGAGUUAUAACAUCAUCUUGGAAGAAAGAAAUUAGAAGUGAAAGUGGAGAAGUUGAGGAAAAGGUGUGGAGAUUAAAGAGACAAGGUAAGAAAUUGAAGCAUUUCUUAUAGAAUUUAUGUUUAAUUAAAGUAGAGACAUAAGAAAGUAAUUUUAGUAUGAGUUUUAAUUAUGUAUUUGAUAUGUUCAUGAAGUAGAAAAAAAGAGAAGAAAUUAUGGAAGUGUUAGAAACAAAGUGGAGAUGAUGACAAAAGUAAGGAAAAAAGAGAAUUAAAGGCAAAAUAGUGAAAUUCUAACAAAAGAAAGGUAAGUACUUCAAGAAUUUUACUUUGGUUUAAUUUUAAUCUAAGUAUGAAUUAUGUUAGAAUAGUUAAUCUGAAUUAAAAUAUGUUAAUAUUAUGUUUACAAAUUUUUAAUAAGUAGUGAAAAAUAUAGUUUGAAUUUUAAUUAUGUGAUGAAUUGUUUUGAUAUAUUGAAAUAAUAGUAAAAAUGACUAAAUUUUAAAGUGUACAAAAUUUUAUGUAUGAAUUAAAAUAUUAUCAUAGAGAGCUUAAAAGUGAUGUUAAGGUGAAAUGAUAAUAAAUAAUGAAUUUUCAUUAUGCUAAGGACUAAAUCAUAAACUUGCAAAAAUUAAAAUUUAAAUAAGAGAAGUAAAGUGAAGUGCAUAAAAAUACGAUAUGUGAAGUAAGAUAAUAUAAUGAAUUGUUUGAUUAAAGUGUUAUGAGAUAGUGAAAUUGAAUGAAAAGUGACAUUAGAAGGAUAAUUAUAAUAAGUAUUGAAUUUUUAUAAUAUUAAAGACUAGAUUGCAAGAUAUUUAGAAGUGAUUAAAAAUAUUAAAAACGUUAGAAAUAAUUAUUCAAAUGAAGUCCUACAUGGAAGAGAAUUGAUUUAAAAUGAUUAUGUAGUAAAAUAAAUAAAUAAAUUUCAUACUGAAAAUGACCAUAUUGUAAAAUAUACAAAAGUUAUUAAGGGUAUUAAGAUUUUGAAACAACAUAUUCAAGUUUAAAGGUAUAUGGAAGUGAAGUGAAUACUAAGAAAGAAUAUGGUGAUUAAUGAAAAUAUAUGCUGCCAGGGACUAAAUCAAAAAGAUUAUAAAGUAAGUGAUGUUUAUGCAAAGAAGACUAGAUAGCAAAGUAUCCAAAAAUAUGUGUAAAUAAGUAUUUAUAGAUAAUUUUAGUGAAGUGUUUAUGAUAGUGAAUUUAAUUUUAAGCAAUAUUAAAGCGUUAAUUUAAUAAACAAUGAUUUUCUUGAAAAAUAAGGACUAAAUUGUAAUAAGUGUGAAGUUUUGCAUGCCAUUAAUUGAUAAAUGAUAGUGAUGAAAACUGGCAAUACAAAUGUCGUAGGGGACAAGAUAUGAACAUGUUGGAUAUGAAUGAAAAGUGGAACUUUAAUGCAAUACAGUGAAAAGUGGCACUUUGAUGCAACUGACAGUGGCACUAUGGUACGAUAGUGAUUUAGUAAAUGAAAAAUGAUAAGAUUGAAAAUGAAGAUGAACAAUUAAUUAUUAUUUAAAUAAAUUUAUUAUGUUAUAUUUAAAGUUUUGAUAUGUUAGAUUUAAUUACGAUAAUGGUAGGUUUAAUUUCUGAUGUACUUACGAAGCUUAUAUAAGCUUAAUGCAUUACUUUUCAACGCGUGGUAAAAGGUAGUUUGAGGUACUAGAUCGAAGGUCAACAUUAGCUCACCUCAUCAUGUCCCAAGGUUGAAAGAAAGUAUGGUUUGAAUAUUUUGAUUCUAGUUAUGACAUGUACAUAGGUAAAAUCAAGUUGUGAACUAUAAUCCCUUUUUAUGGACCUAAUUGUAGAAUUUGUAAUCUUUUGCUAAUCUUAUAAUCUUGGUCAUAAAUGAAUGAGUUGUGGUAAGUUAUAUGAUUCUUGAGUUUAGAUUUGAACUUAUAUGAAUAAUACAUUGGUUGAUUUGGAUGGAAUAUGUAAAUUAAAAACAACUUAGGUGGUAAAAAAUUGAAAUAUUGAAAAUGGAUGAAAUAGGGUGCACGUCGCAAUGUCAAAUGUACCAUGUCACGAUGAGACUAAGUCAGAGAGUGAAGUUGGGAUGAAGGGCCCCUGACGUCACGAAUUUAGCCCGAAACAAUAGAAAUCUUAUAAUUUAGUCCUUGUUCUACCUUAGACCACUAAAAGAGUUGUCGUAAGCUCCUAUAUGAUCAAAUAUGUAUUCGAAACAUGUUGUAUUACUUAAUGAUCUUAAUAUUUCAAAUGAAACGAUAAAUGAAAUCGAAAUUAAAUUGAUGUUGCUUCAGCAACAAAUGUAGCAUUUUGAUAUCCUGACCCGACGAUUGGGUCGGGUACGGGAGUGUUACAUCUACAGAGCCUAGCUUAGUGAGAAGAAUCCACUAUCUUUCAACAAUUACAAGUAGUGAACCUAAAUCUAUCACACCCUAGUGAUGAUUCCUAACUAUUGUACCUUCAAAGACUAAACCUCCACCACUAAAUUCUCCACCUAAGAACUUAUUCUAUGAAACCACUACACAAAGGUUUUACAAUCUCAAAUUCAUUCUCACAAAUAAUGUUGUUCACUUGAGCAAAUUAAGUGCCCUCAAUUAUCAGUACAUCAACCUAUACAAGUCUCACAAUUAUAUAGAAUUUUCAAGACUUGCUAACAUAAUGAAGAUCAUUCAUGAUCCCUUCUAAAAGGUAGCUAAAGUAGCUUAAUAUAAUAUAAUAAUAACAGUCAAGGUAAUUUGGACAAUUGGCAGAUAAGAUACUAAAUUUUCGAUUCGAUCCAACUUCCUUGAUAUAAGAGAUUAGAUAGACUUUGUUCGAUCCGAUUCUCCAAAUGUUUCUCCAAGUGAUAUGAUCUUCAUUGAUGGGCAUAGUUAUUAGUUUAAUUUCGGAUUGAAGUUAUCAUCCAAUCGCACAAUUCAGCUCGAGUUCGAUUUUUUCACAUGGGAUUUGUUUUAUCCAAAUCAAAUUGAAUGAAAAAAAAUCUAUAUUUAAAGGAAUAGUCCUAAUAGAAUAAUAAAUUGAUCAUUUCAAUGUCUACAUGGACUAAUUCAUUUAAUUGUAUUAUUAUUAUUAUUAUUAUUAUUAUUAUUAUUAUUAUUAUUAAAAACUAGAUAUGACCAUACAAAAAGUUAAAGUUAUAGAAAUAUUUCAUAAAAAAAGUUAUGAAAGUGUAGCUUUGUAUUAGAAUAAGUUGAUCGUUUCUUAAAUAUAAUAAUUAUAAUUAUAAGCAUAAUUCUAAAUUUAGGGAAAUAGUUUAUUAAAUUUUAUAAUAUUUUCUUUAUAAAAGAAACAAUUAUAAACAAGUUGUCAAUUAUAUAUAUUUGAUAGUUAUGAAUUUAAUCACUUAUAUUGGCAUAUUGUAAUGACUCGGUUUUUUAAGGAAUGUAAUAACUCAAUUAUAACUAAUUAAAGUUAGCAUCUAAUUAAAGAAAUGACACAACAAAACACUAUGUACGUAAGUGAUUUAUGUAUUAGCUUUUCUUUUAAUAUCUUUAAACGAUUUAUAAACUUAAUAGACUAACUUAAAAUGCUUUUUAAAAGAUCUUAUGGAUGAUUGUGGUAUUAAUUUAAUUAUUUUAUUCACUUUAUAAAUGUAUAAAUGAAACUAGAGUAUAUAUUAUGAUUGGUGUGAAAAAAAAAAUCAAGAAUUGCAAUAUUAGAUUUUUUUUGGGCCCAAAACAAGGUGACAAUUUUUUUGACAAAACACAAAUUUUUUAAAAGUUGUUGUACCGAACCACAAUUUUCAGUUUCAGAUUUUUCAACUUUUAUUCCAUAUGAUUUCGGUUUCAAAUGUUAAAAAUCGAAUAGAGUAAUUCGAUUCAAAAAUCGAACUGAACCGAAUAUACCCCUAGGCAAGAUAUAAUCCACGAUCUUGGCUCAGCACAAAAGAUAUGGUUCAAUAAAUUGUCAAUCUCCUAAAUAUGACAAGUUGUUGAUUGUAUCAGUAAUGACGGAAGUGGGCAAUUCCUCAAGUACGUAUCAGCAACUCUAAAUAUUUCAACAGUAAUUAAUAUUGUCUAGAAAAAUAUAAAUUAUAUAAUUGUGUAAUUACAAUUUAUAAUACCAAACAUGACAUAGAAAAUUAUGAUAUAAUUAUAGUUUGUUAGUCGAACACGUCUAAUAAUUACAAUUUCAACCAAUUACGUAGUGUCAAUCCUAAAUACGUAAAAAAAUUCAAAUCUUCUAGGAUCUUUGUAAUUUAGUGAAAUUACUUUUACACUUAAAAAAAGGCUAAAAAUAAUUAUUUAACACACCGAAAUGCUUUCCAAAUCAUAAAAAUAAAUUGGAUAAAACUUCAAAUAUAUGCCAUGCUGUAUACAAAAUCAUAUGUAUCAUGAUGCAAGUUUGGAAAAUAUUCAUUAGUACUUUGAAUCGAUCACACAAGGUGCUAAAUGCAACACCUAGGCUACAUGGGUGAUUCCUUAUCCAACUGAGUACCAUGGAGCCUGAAGAGACAUGCCACUCUGGUUUGGUCUGCUACUUUUCUCUAUUAUUUCUUAUUUCUCUAAGUUUAUAUAUCAAAAUUUAUGUUAACACAAAUUAACCUAUCAAAUUUCAAUAUUUUAAAUAUGUGAGUAUGAUACAUAAAGAUGUGGAUUGAGAAAUUAGGAAGAAAUAGUUAGAUGAAAGUGAAAGAGAGAGUGAAAGGAGUGCGCGGUGAUAUGACGAGGAACCUGAUCCCUUUUGGGUUCUUGAAAUUCCAUUCUCCAUUAGGAUACCAACAAUAAUAUAUGGACCAAUUCAUAGGAAUGGGAUGCUACAUUCCAUUUGAAAGAUCAACAGUGCAGCACAAAUGCUUUUGUUUUUCAGGCCCCAUCAUUCUUGGGCCCAUUCUUCUCCAUCUAUUCCUAUCUAUACCCUCACAAACUAUUUUUCUCAUGAGUAUUUCAAAAGAAAAUUUGAAAAGUUCAGUGUUAUUGAAUUAUGCCAUCAGUUAAGAAAUCAGUUAACAAAUUAUACCAUCUUUUUCUACUCAACUUCUUUCCAAUAUUUGGAUUUCAUGUUUUAUCUGAGUUUUUUUUAUUAUAGAGGUUCAUCCAAUAUUAACUAUUUUACACAAAGUAUAUAGAAAAAAUGAAGUUAUUGAUAAGAAAAAUAAUACAUAGGUUUUGAAAUGGGAUGAGAAAGGAAUUGAAGUCAAUGAUUAAGAAAAAGGAAAAGAAGCUUGUUGAAAUGUGUGUUUUUUCAUCAAAUUAGGAUUUGGAUGAGUUUUUGAUGAGUUCUUGAAUUUUGUAUCAUUGGAAUUCUUGGGUAAAGAACAAACUAAAAGAAUAUAUUUAUAUUUAAAAGAAAUACUUAAGAAAAUAAUCUUUAACUUUUUUUGAAUUUUUUAAAUUAAAAAUUACCACGUGUCAUAAAAUAAGACUUAGGAAAUAAAGUAUAAUUUAGGAAUCACUUUGAAUAAUAAAACAUAUUUUAAGUAUCACUUGUGACAAAAAAAUUUUAAAUAACAACUUAAGAAAAUAACAUAAAUUUUUUAGUUCAAUAAAAAAAUAUAAUUUAAUUACCACUUUAAACAAUAAAAUAUCACUUGUUACAACAUAAGAAAAAGACAUGUUCUUUGAACUGAUGCAUUGCAAAGAAGGUUAAGUUAGAUGAAGUCUGAUCCCUAAACUUAGAAGCCAACCUUAAAUAGACAUUUGUCACUAUAAGCCAAAAAAUUAUCAUUACUUGCAUCUAUCUUUACAUAGACUGAGUGUAACGUAAUUUAGAUCAGUUGAAGCGUUAGAAAUGUUCUCACUUAAAUUUAUAACAAUGAUUUUUACGAAUAUAAAUAAAAUUAAUUAAAAAUCGUUUAAAUCAAUAUGAACCUUAAUGAUUGAAAGCAUUAAAAGGAAUCCCAGUGACCCAGUAGCCCUCCCUGGGUUCUCCAAAAAGAUGAAUACAAAGUAAUUCUCUUCACUGCUCUCAACAUUUUAUCAAAACAGAGCAGAUCAAUUACAUGCCAUUCAUGCAGAAGUGGGGCCGGAUGAUGAUGCAGCCCUCUUCUUGGCCAAGUAUUCCUCAGCUCGAGCAAGGUUCUUUGCAACUGAAGGCUUAACCCACUUCUUGCGCCCAGGCAGUACAGUGAGAGAGCAACUGGCAGCCUCAAGCUUUUCCUUUGCAGAUGCUUAAAGGGCACGGGCCUUCAUGUUCAGCUUUACCUUCAGCUCCCCGUCACCGAGAAUCUAAAUCAACACGAUUAUUGCAAUUACAAUUCUCUCAGUCUUUGCAUGAGAGAACUGAUUAAGAAGGUAGAAUUCCAUUGUUAUUACAAAUACAAUUCCAUUGUUAUUUCCAUUAAUAAUUAAGCAGGUCGGGAUUAAUGCUUCAUGCAUGAGAGAAACACAAUUUCCUACUCAAGUUGUUCUCCAGAACAAGUAGCAUUGGGGUCAUUAUACUUAAACAAAGUCUGGAAGGGGCUCUGUUAUAAUAAAAAUCCAAGAGCAUAUUCACCUUCAAAGGGAGUUUCCUCUCUCUUCCUUAAGGGUUGAUCAAACCCUUCUCCUUUAAAGUCUCCAACGACACCUCAUCUCCGUCUUGAAAUCCAGCUGUUUCGAUGUCUUUUAAGUUAACCGCUAUGUAUUUUGGUAAUCCCGCAUGCAUACCUUGCAAUGUCAAAUGAAAAUAGCUUUAAUUUAAACACUAAGUUAUUAUAGAAAAAAUUAAUAAAACAAUAAUAAUAAGUAAAAUAGGGGAGAAUUUUUAUUAUUUAAUUUUCACUUACAAUGUGCUAUUUAUAAGCUUCUUUACAUUCAAUUAAUAAAUGUAUUACAUUCAAUCAAUAAAUGUGAAUUAAGUUUUCUUAAUUACUCUAUUUAAUCAUCUCAUGGUUAUAAAUGAAGUAAAGAGUUUUAUCUCAUUACUUUAAUAAAUGUAUAAAUGGAUUAUAGACAUCCAUUUAAUGUAUUUACAACACUUCUCCUUGGAUGUCUUUUAACUAAAAAUGUGACUCAUUAAAACCUUUACUAGAAAAAACCUUGCGGGAUAAAAAACCUAAUUAAGGAAAAAGAGUGCACAAUCUCCUAUUACAAUUUGUCUUAUUAAAAACAUUUACUAGGAAAAUCCAGUGGGACAAAACCUUGGUUAAAAGAAAAGAGUACAACGUGUUUUAAACUCUCCCUAAUGGCAACAUCACAUUAUAUAUUUGAGUCGACACAUUCCAAUCUUGUCUCGUAGUCUUUCCAAUGUUGAAGUUGACAAUGUAUUGGUAAAAAGAUCUGAUAAAUCAUCACUAGAGCGAAUUCGUUGAACUUUUAUGUCACAUUUCUUCUCAAGAUCAUGAGUGAAGAACAAUUUUGGUGAAAUAUGUUUCACUCUGUCACCUUUGAUGUAACCACCCUUCAAUUGGGCUAUACAUGCUGCAUUAUCUUCGUAUAAGAUAGUUAGCAUCUUUUCCUAUAAAGGCAAAUUACAUAUCUUUUAGAUAUGUUGGGUUAAUAACCUUAGUCAAACACACUCUCGGUUUGUCUCAUGCAUUGCAAUUAUUUCAGCAUGAUUUGAAGAGGCAGCAGCUAAUGUCUGCUUUGUUGAACGUCAUGAUAUGACAGUACCUCCACAUGUAAAUAAAUAUCCCGUUUGAGAUCGACCUUUAUGUGGAUUCAAUAAAUAUCCAGCAUUAGCAUAGCCGACUAAUUGUAACGCCCCAAGAAUUUAAGAGUUUAAUUGGGAGAAUCUACAAUAAUUAAAAUUUGGUAUAUGUGGUUCUGUGCUCUACUUUUGCGUUUAAGGUCGGUAGUUCGAGUUGCAUUGUUAAAAUUUUUGUUAUUUUUUAAAACAACAUUUAUCCAUGUGUUAUGUAGUUAAGUGCAAUUCUAGGUAAAUCGGUGUCAAGAAUGAGCCUGUUGGUUCACUGGUUAAGCAUCUGUCUGUAUUCUGUCUAGUUCCUAGUUCAAGUCUCAUCGUGUGCGUUAGGAAAUAUAUUUUUGCAAAUGCCGAAAAGUAGGAUGGUGGUUAAUUUAAAACAUUCUGAAGAGUUCUAUCGUCCUUUUCUUUUUUCUUUUUUUAAAUUUUAGUUCAUUGCUUUCUUGUUCUUCUUUUCUUUUAUUUUUCUUCUUACUGCAAUUGAUUUUACGUGAAUUGGGAAUUCUUACGUGAAUUGGGAAUUCUUUGUUGCCUGUGAGGUUAAUAUUAUAUAAGUUCCAUUGUUAUUCCAUUUCGUUUUGCGAAUUCUGUUGUGUUAACACUAUUCUGUCGAAACGAGAUUUUGCUCGUUUGCUUGACAUUCUGUUAAACACUCGAUUGGUUACUUUUUAGGUGAGGAUAUUACAAGAGACGUGACUUCGUCGUGUUAGUCUGAUUCCUUCUGUUUCGUAGAAGGUAAGUAUGCGAUUUGAGUUGGGGUUGCGUCGAAAUUUUCGACAUGAUCUUGUCAGUAGGUGAUUUUAGUGAAAUCUUGAAAAUGAGGGUGUAAUUGAUUAUUGAAUGGUUAAUUAGGUUCUAGGUAGUCUUCACAUUGUUUUCUUUGGUCAAACGAAACUAGGUGCGUAUCAAAAACCUUAAUUUUUGUAAGUUUCGAUCAUCGAAAAUGGUGGAUGUCGACGCCACACGGCCAGGCACAUGGGCGCAUGUCCAGGCCAUGUGGUUGGCGGUGUAACUAACUGUUUAUCAAUUUGGGGUAACACGGGCAGGGACACGGGCGUGUGUCUAGGCCGUGUGUGGCCAUAUUAGUGCAGGGUUCACACAGGUAGCGGACACAGGCGUGUGUCAGGGCCGUGUAACUCACUAUUUAUGGAAUAAAACCACACGGCCAGGGACACGACGUGUACCUAGGCUGUGUAAGUCACACUGGCAAGAAGAAGGACGUGUGUCCAAGUCGUAUAACUCAAUUUUUAUGCUUUGAAACCACACGAGCAAGGCACAUGGGCAUGUGACCAAGCCGUAUGGCAUGUUAUUGGGGCCCAAACCUUUUUUCGAGGCCGUGAAUGUUAUUUAACACUGAUACUAGUAUUCUUGUUGUAUGAAUUUGAUUAUAUGGGAACUGUCUUAUAUUCUGAGACUGAAGUGGAAAUAACAUAGUUGUAUAAAUAUUAAUAUACUUAUUCUGGAAAUGAACUGUCUUAUCUAUUUGUGAAAUAAACUAGAAUGAUUGAAUAUAUUAUACAGGUAAUUGUGCUCUGCAUUUGCAUGGAUAGGGAUAUUGUGACAAAGGAAGUAGUCUGUUCUGAAUCAGUGGUUAUGCCACUAUACGUAUAAAUCUGAUUCUAGCGAUUUGUCGUAAUCUGGUCUAGCAACUAUGCUGCGUAUCUGUAAAGUGUCAAACGGACACUCUAAGGUGUGCAGGGUUAGUUUGGCAUUGAAUGUCCUUAACAGUGUGUUGGGAUGGCUGAAGACGGUGCGUAGCGGAUGGGGGUAGAAAUAUUGCAUCUAAAUCUGAUAUGUAUCAUAUAUGAAACCAGAAUUGCGUAUAUGUAUGUGUAACUAACCUACUCUGAAUCUGAACUGAAAUAUCUUUUGUGUUGAACCGAAUCUCUGAAUUCAGAACUAUUUUAUAAGUGAGCAUUUAUUGAAAAACUUCUUUUACGCACUGAGUUCAUAACUUAUUCUGUCAUUGCUUGGAUUUCAAGUGGUUCGUAGACUUGAACGGGUCGGUGUUGCGGGAGCUCGGUCGAGCCAUUAGCUUUCUAUAAAAUAUUUCGGUAAGAGUUUCGAUAAAUUAGAAUAGUAUGACUUUGGAAGAUUAUAUACUUAACUAAUUUUUGUGUUGAAUUUUAUGUGAAUCAUGGUUUGGUAUUAUUGUGUUUUGCAUAGUAUUUGAGUAUUCAUAAUGUAACUCUCUAAACUUGGACUGGACGGCUAAGCUGGGUCUAGGGUGUUACAUUUAGUGGUAUCAGAGCCAAGCUUGUCAACACUGGGACUAUGUUUGGGCUCAUAAUGUGUGAGAAAAAUAGCUUAGUGAUAAUUUAGUAUCUAAAUUAAUAUAGAAACACUGAAACUUUAGUGAACGACCAAGCCUCCGAUGCUGACCCUGUAAGUAUUUCGGUUCUAUUAUAAAGAUUAUAAUACUUAAACUGUUGUGGGUAAAAUGUUUUGAUGUGAACUGGCAAAAUCAUCCUCUUGAACGUCUAAACUAAUUUGUGUACUCUGAUAUUGUAGCUAGAUUGCCAUAAUAAGUUCGGACAGUAGUAUGAACGUGGUAUGCUGGGGCAUCGAGCAUAUCGAGGAGGAGCUCAAGCAGAGUCAUCCUUUACGAGUAGUAUGCCCAACCUUGAGACCAGUGAGACUGUUGGUACUCCCACUGGUAAGGCGGAGUCCCAAACUUCGACGGUUGGGGACGACGCACUACCCCAAGCCAUGAUUCGAGCACUGAAGAGGGUCGUAGGGACCUAUUCGAGAUCGAGAUGGCUAGGGUCAGUUACUGGAUAACUCCGAUCGAAUUGGGCUAAUUAUUUAGGGGCGUUAUAGAAGUCGCUUCCACUAUUGCUGAAUAUUGGCUCGAGGCCACUGAGCAUAUUAUGACAGAUCUUGACUGUACUUCUACUCAAAAAUUAAGGGAUGCUGUGUCCCUAUUCCAGGACAAAGCUUAUCAGUGGUGGUUGAUAGUUGAGCAAGGUGUUCAGCCUGAACAGGUGAACUGAGACUAUUUCAAGAACACCUUCUAAGGUAAGUAUGUGAGGGCAAAUUAUGUUGAGGCUCACCGAUACGAGUCCAUGAGCCUAGUUCAAGGCGACCGAUCGGUGGCCAAAUAGGAAGUUGAGUUUUUACGACUGAGUAGGUAUGUAUGGACUCUAGUAGCGUCUAAUUAUGAAAAGUGUGUAAAGUUUGAGGGGUGUUGUUUCCUUAUUUCGGGACGAAGCUUAUCAGUGGUGGUUGACAGUUGAACAAAGUGUUCAGCCUGAAUAGGUGAACUGGGACUAUUUCAAGAACACAUUCCAAGGUUAGUAUGUGAGGGCAAAUUAUGUUGAAGCUCACCGAUACGAGUUCAUGAGCCUAGUUCAGGGCAACCGAUCGGUGGCCAAAUAUGAAGCCAAGUUUUUACAACUAAGUAGGUAUGCAUGGACUCUAGUAGCGUCUGAUUACGAUAAGUGUGUGAGGUUUGAGGGAUUAAGAUAUGAUCUGCAAGUUUUGAUAGCUCCUCAGAGGGAGCGAAUUUUUGCUGUUCUAGUUAACAAAGAAAAAAUAGUGGAAGAACUGAAGCGUACUAAGCGUAAGUGGCGUGAUCGUGAGAAGGAUCAGAAUAAGAUUAAGAAGGAUUCGAGUCCCUCUGGUUGUAGUCAGCGUCUUAAAAAGCGGACGACAUUUGAUAGGCCCCCGAGGGCCGAUGCACCAGUUGUAGUGACUGAGAUUCAACUGUGUAGUGAUUGUGGGAACUGCCAUCCGAGCGAGUGCUAGAGGAAGUUAGGAGUAUGCAUCCAUUGCGGUUCAAUGGAGCAUCGAGUUAGGGAUUGCCCCCGUUGACCAGAUCUAGUGUUAGCUACGGCACGGGCUCUGGCUCCAAAUUAUGUUUGGCCUCCAAAAGAGGUUCAGCAACCAUUCAGAGGUUGUGGUACUGAUAGGGGUGGUAAUAGAUCUGGGAGAGGACAAAGAGCAUCGGGUAGAGGUGUAGGUCAGGCUAAGGCUUGUCAGCCGGCACUAGUUUAUGCAGCAAGAUUCCGUGAGGAGAGCAAUGAUGCUAAUGUCAUUGCAGGUACCUUCUUUAUUCAUUCUGUUCCGUAUUAUGCUCUCAUUUAUAUAGGCUCUACUCAUUCGUACAUAGCUAGUGUUAUUUCUGUAAAUCUGGGUUUAACCGCUCAGAAUACUCCUAGAGAGUUUUCUGUAAUCAGUCCUUUGGGUCAGUCAAUUUGAGUUGAUAGGGUAUACAAGCGGGUACCCCUUGAGUUCCAGGGUAUGGUAUUUCCAGUUGAUUUAAUGGAAUUACCUUUUAAUGAUUUUGAUUUAAUUUUGGGAAUAGAUUGUCUCAUUGAGUAUCUGGUCAGUCUAGACUGUACAACUAAGAGAGUUAUUCUGCAAUCGAAUAAGAAUGACAAGGUGGUCAUGGUUGGUGAGCGACGGGAUUACCUCUCUAAUUUAAUCUCCACUGUUGUAGCAGAAAAGUUAGCUCAAAAAGGGUGUGAGGCAUACCUUGCUUACGUCUUCGAUUAUAUUUUUGCAAAACAUUCGGUGGGGGAUAUCCGUACUGUGAAGGAGUUCCCAGAUGUAUUUCUAGAGGAAUUGCUAAGAGUACCUCCUGAUAGAGAGAUCGAGUUUGGAAUUGUUCUAUUACCAGGUACUGCUCCAGUGUCCAUUGCGCCUUACUGCAUGGCACCGAAAGAGCUGACCGAGUUAAAAGCGUAGCUUCAAGAACUCCUUGAUAGAGGAUUUAUUCGAGCAAGUGUGUCUCCAUGGGGGCACCAGUAUUGUUUGUUAAGAAGAAAGACGGGUCGAUGAGAAUGUGCAUAGAUUAUAGACAGUUGAACAAGUUGACAAUCAAGAAUAAGUACCCGUUACUGAGGAUCGAUAACUUUUUCGACUAGUUUCAAAAAGCAUCUGUCUUUUCUAAAAUUGAUCUACGCUCUGGUUACCAUCAGCUCAAGGUCAAAGAGACUGAUGUGUACAAAACUACCUUCAAGACUCGUUACAGACAUUACGAGUUCCUGGUAAUGCCUUUUGGUUUAACGAAUGCCCCGAUAGCAUUUAUGGAUUUAAUGAAUCGAGUGUUUCAAUCGUACUUGGAUCAAUUUUUAGUGGUUUUUAUUGAUGAUAUCCUGAUCUACACUAAAACUGAAAUUGAGCAUGAUGAUCAUCUUCAUAUUGUGCUUUAGAUACUCUAAGAAAAAUAGUUGUAUGCCAAGUUCAGUAAGUGCAAGUUUUGGUUACAGGAAGUCACUUUUCUAGGUCAUGUAGUGACGGUGGAGGGGAUCCGAGUUGAUGCCAAGAAGAUAGCAGCUAUUGUUGAGUGGAAACAACUGAAAAAUAUAUAUGAGCUUUAUAGCUUCUUAGGUUUAGUCGGUUACUAUUGAAGGUUCAUCGAAAGAUUUUCUCUGAUUACGUCUCCUCUGACGAAACUGUUCCGUAAGAAUGCUCCAUUCGUGUGGCCUGGGGCACAAUAGUCUAGUUUCGAUAAGCUCAAGUCUGUUCUGGCACAGGCUCCUGUGUUAGUUCAACCGAAAUCGGGUCGGGAGUUUGUAGUAUACAGUGAUGCUUCACAUGUUGGGUUAGGAUGUGUGCUUAUGCAAUACGGUAAGAUGGUCGUUUAUGCGUCACGAUAGCUUAAAAUAAAUAAGGGUAACUACCCUACACACGAUCUUGAGUUAGCUGCGGUUGUGUUUGCUUUGAAAAUCGGGAGAUACUAUCUGUAUGGUGAAAUGUGUAUUAUAUAUACUGAUCACAAGAGUCUCAAAUAUUUGCUAACCCAAAAAGAAUUAAAUCUUCGGUAGCGUCGAUGGGUUGAAUUACUUAAAGAUUAUGAUUGCACAAUAGAGUACCAUCCGGGUAAGGCUAAUAUGGUAGCUGGCGCCCUUAGCCAUAGAGCCAUGACUGAUUUGAGAGUAAUGUUAGCUUGUUUGAGUUUGGUCAAGGAUAGAAGGCUGUUGACUGAAUUAUAGGUAAAACCGAUUUGGGUGGAGUAGAUUAGAGCUAAACAGUUGAGCGAUGAGUCCUUAGUUUGGCAUCUAUAACAUGUUGAUUCGAACGAGACUUCUAAUUUUAGCUUGAACAACAACAACGUGUUGUGCUUUAAAGGUUAGAUCUGUGUACUUAAUGACAGAGAGUUGAGGCAUUCAAUCCUUUAGGAGGCGCAUAGUAGUCCCUAUGCUAUGCAUCUUGGUGCGAACAAAAUGUAUCGGGAUUUCUGAGAACUCUACUGGUGGCCCAAACUGAAAUAGGAGAUACUCGCUUUUGUGUUCCACUGUUUGACGUACCAAAAGGUUAAGGCGGAACAUUAGCUGCCAUCCAGGUUGCUUGAACUAGUUAAAAUUCCUUAGUGGAAAUGGGAGAAAAUAAUGAUGAAUUUUGUUAGUGGGUUGCCUUUAACCCCUACUAAGAAAGAUUCAAUUUGGGUCAUCGUUGAUCGAUUGACCAAAUCAGCCCACUUCAUACCCAUCUAGACAGAUUACUCCUUACAGAAGUUGGCUAAACUGUACAUCGCCAAAAUUGUGAGGCUACACGGAAUUCUGAUCUCAAUCAUCUCUGAAAGAGAUUUGCGAUUUAUGUCUCGGUUCUAGAAGAAACUCCAUGAGGCUUUAGGCACUUAACUUAAUUUCAGGACUGUGUACCACCCUCAGACUGACGGGCAGUCGGAGCGAGUCAUUCAGAUCCUAGCGUUGGGGUUGUGUGUUAGACUUCAUUGGUAGUUGGGAGGAGUAACUAGCAUUGGCAGAGUUCGUAUAUAAUAACAGCUUCCUGUCUAGUAUUCAAAUGUCACCAUACGAAGCUUUGUAUGGUCAUAGGUGCCGUACUCCGUUAUAUGGGACAGAAAUAAGCGAACGUCGACUUCUGGGUCUUGAGUUAGUUUCUAAAACUGAAAACACUAUGAAAGUAAUUUGGGACCAUCUAAAAGCCGCAUCUAAUCAACAGAAGUCUUAUGUUGAUUUAAAAAAAGAAAGACAUCGAGUUUUCUAUUGGUGAUUAAAUUUUAUUGAGAGUAUCACCGUGGAAAAAGGUACUCCGAUUUGGACGCAAAGGCAAGAUAAGCCCAAGGUUCAUUGGGCCUUACCAAAUCUUGAAGCGUGUCGGACCUGUUGCUUACCAAUUAGAAUUACCAUCGGAGUUGGAUCGGAUUCAUGACAUGUUUCAUGUCUCGAUGUUGAGAUGGUAUCUGUUAGAUUUGUUGCAUAUUGUUCUUAUCGACGAGAUCGAGUUGCGAUCGGAUUUAACAUUCGAAGAGGAACCUGUCCAGAUUUUGGAACGUGAUGUUAAGGUACUGAGGAAGAAAAAUGUUCCUCUAGUGAAAGUUUUAUGGCGGAACCACGGUAUUGAGAAAGCCACGUGGGAACUUGAAGAAGCGAUCUGACGGCUGUAUCUGUAUCUGUAUUUGUUUGAGUCAGGUAAAAUUUUAAGGCCGAAAUUUCUUUUAGGGGGAGAGAGUUGUAAUGCCCCCAAAAUUUAAAAGUUUAAUUGUGAGAAUCUGCAUUAAUUAAAAUUCUGUAUCUGUGGUUUUGUGCUCUGCUUUUGUGUUUAAGGUCGGGAGUUCGAGUUGCAUUGUUAAAAGUUUUGUUAUUUUUUAAAACAACUUUUAUCCAUGUGUUAUGUAGUUUAGUGCAAUUCUGGGUAAAUCGGUGUCUAGAAUGAGCCUGCUGGUUCACUGGUUAAGCAUCUGUCUAUAUUCUGUCUAGUUCUGAGUUCAAGUCCCAUCAUGUGUGUUAGGAAAUUUAUUUUUGCAAAUACCGAAAGGUGGGAUAGGUUAAUUUAAAACAUUCUGAAGAGUUCCUUGUUUUCCUUUUUUUUUCUUUUUCUAAAUUUUAGUUCCUUAUUUUCCUGUUCUUCUUUUCUUUUGUUUUCUUUUUCUUCUUACUCCAAUUGAUUUUGCAUGAAUGGGGAAUUCUUCAUUGCCUGUGAGGUUGAUAUUGUGUAAGUUUCGUUGUUAUUCCUUUUCAUUUUGCGAAUUUUGUUAUGUUAACACUAUUCUGUCGAAACGAGAUUUUGCUCGUUUGCUUGACGUUCUAUUAAACACUCGAUUGGUUACUUUUUAGGCAAGGAUAUUACAAGAGAUGUGACUUCACCAUGUUAGUCUGAUUCCUUCUGUUUCGCACAAUAUAAGUUUGUGAUUUGAGUUGGGGUUGCGUCAAAAUGUUUGGCAUGAUCUUGACGUAGGUGAUUUUAGUAAAAUAUUGAAAAUGAGGGUGUAAUUGAUUAUUGAAUGGUUAAUUAGGUUCUAGGUAGUCUUCGCAUUGUUUUUUUUCGUCAAAAAAACUAGGUGUGUAUUAGAACCUUAAUUUUUGCAAGUUUCGGUCACCGAAAAUGGUGGUUGUCAAUGCCACAUGGCCAGGUACACGAGCGUGUGUCCAGGCUGUGUGAGCCAUACAUUCGUGUGGCUGGCCGUGGAACUUACUGUUUAUCAAUUUGAGGCCACACGAGUAGGACACGGGCGUGUGUCUAGGCCGUGUGUGGCCAUAUUAGUGUAAGGUUCACAUGGGUAACGGACACGGGCGUGUGUUGAGACCGUGUAACUCACUGUUUAUGGUAUAAGACCAUACGGGCAAAGCACACGGGCGUGUGUCUUGGCCGUGUAACUCACUGUUUAUGGAAUAAAACUACACGACAAGGGAAACGAGCGUGUACCCUAGUCGUGUGAGUCACAAGAGCAGGAACACGGACGUGUGUCCAGGCCGUGUAACUCACUGUUUAUGUUUCAGAACCACACUGGCAAGGCACAUAGGCGUGUGACCAGGCCGUGUGGCAUGUUAUUGGGGCCCGAAACUUAUUUUUGAGGCUAUGAAUGUUAUUUAACACUGAUACUAGUAUUUUCGUUGUAUGAAUUUGAUUAUAUGGAACUGUUUGAUAUUUUGAGAUUGAAGUGGAAAUAACAUAGUUGUAUAAAUAUUAAGAUACUUAUUCUGGAAUUGAACCGUCUUAUCUAUUUGUCAAAUAAACUAGAAUGACUGAAUACAUGAUACGGGUAAUUGUGCUCUACAUCUAUAUUUCCAUUUUUUCAAUCUGUAGGCUAAGAUAAAACUUUGUUUUUCCAAGAUCUUUCAUCUCAAAUUCUUUCUUUAAAUAAUUUAUUGCAUUUUGAAGCUCUUCAAGAGUUCCAAUAAUAUUUAGAUCAUCAAUAUAAAUAAAAAUUAUCAUAAAGUUUGAACCACAGCUUUUUAUAAAAACACAUGGAUAGAUUGGAUCGUUUCUAUAACAUUUUUUAACAAAUAUUCACUAAGACGAUUGUACCACAUACGUCCAAAUUGUUUUAGUCCAUAUAAACUUUUCUUUAAUCUGAUUGAGCAAUUUUCCUGAAAAACCCUAUAUCCUUCAGGGAUUUUCAUAUAAAUUUCACUAUCAAGUGUAUCAUACAAAUAGGCCGUCCAUUAGAUGCAUGUCAAGUAUUUCACAUACUGUCAGACUAAUAAGGUAUCUAAACGUGAUUGCAUCCACCAUAGGAGAAUAUGUCUCUUCGUAAUCAAUGUUAAACUUUUGUGAAAAUUCUUAUGCUACAAGUUAUGCUUUAUAUGUUACGACAUCAUUUUUCUCAUUUCGUUUUUGCAUAAAUAUCCAUUUAUAUCUUACCAGCUUUACAUAUUUAGGUGUUUGGACUAUAGGUCAAAAAACCUCACGUUUAGAAAGUGAAUUUAAGUCUCUUGAAUUGUGCCUUUCCAUUUUGGUCAAUCUUUUCUAUUUCUAUAUUUCUCAAUAGAUUUAGGCUCAGGAUCCUCAUUUUCUUUUGAUAUUUCAAUAGCAACAUUAUAAGAAAAAAUGUUGUUGACAACUAUAUUUUUCUAGUUCCAUCUUUUUCCUAAAGUAACAUAACUUAUUAAGAUCUCUUCGUCAUCACCAUUUUUAGGUACCUGAACCUCUUAUGGGGUUUUUUGAUUAGUUAUAUAUUUGGUCACUUCUUGGGCACUUACCUCCAGAAUACAACCAUCUUAAAUAUUUGCUCAUUUCCUUUUACGAUGAUUUUUAUAUUUGGAACCGACUGGUCUUCCACGCUUUUGGCGUGAAUUACUUUCUUUUACACUAAUAGUUUUCCCUAUUGGGACAACAAUUCGUAUUAGAGCAUUUUCAGCUGGUAUGUGAGAUUUUGUAAUUGUCUUUAGGUCAGUAAAUGAAUCUGGCAAUUGAUUGGCAAUGUUUUGCAAAUGUAUGAUCCUUUGAACUUCUUGUUCACAUUGACUUGUACGAUGACCUAAUUGAGAUAAUGAUGAUCCAUUCCAUGUAAUUUCUUUUAUCAGUUGUAUUUUCUCUCCCCUUUAAUGUUGGGAAUGUUGUUUCAUCACAAUGAUAAUCAAUAAAUCAUGCAGUAAAUAAAUCUUCAGUUAAUGGUUUAACAUACUUAAUUAUAGAAGGAGAUUCAUAACCAACAUAUAUUCUCAACCUCCUUUGAGGACCUAUCUUUGUUCGUUGUGGUGGAGUAAUUGGAACAUAUACUGCACAUCCAAAAAUUCUAAGAUGGUAAAUGUUUGGUUCCUAACCAAAAGCAAAUUGUAAUGGGGAGUAUUUAUUAUGACUUGUUGCCUUGAAGCGCACAAGUGCUAAGUGCUGCUGCAUGCAAAAUAGCAUAUUCCCAAGCUGUAGCAGAGAGUUUUGUUCUCAUAAGCAAUGGCCUAGCUAUUAGUUGGAGGUGUUUGAUAAAUGAUUUAGCUAAACCACUUUAUGUGUGAACAUGAGCUACAGGAUGUUCAAUUUUUAUCUCAAUUGACAUACAAUAAUCAUUAAAAGCUUGGGACGUAAACUCACCAGCAUUAUCAAGAUGAAUAGUUUUGAAUCCAUAAUUUGGUAAUUGUGCUCUUAAUAGAAUUAUUUGAGCAAGUUGUCUCGUAAACGCAAGGUUGCGAGUCAAUAAUAAACACACAUGUGACCACCUGUAAUAUCCCUAAAUCGAGUCUAGUAGUUUCGGGUAUAUUUUUUGGGUUCUGAGUGUGAAACUAAGAAUUUAUAGGGUUUCUAGUAAUUUUUAAUUUAAUUUAAUUUAGGAGUUUAAUUUCAUCUAAAAUCGAUUAAAAAAUAAUCCAAAAAAUAUAAAAUAUAUUUUCAAAAAAUUAAUUUUAAAGAUUUUAAAUAAUUAUUAGUGAAAAUAAUCAAUUUGGGUUGAAAAAGAAUUUUAAAAUAAUUUUUAUUUGGUGUAAUUUGAGUAAAAUUUAAAUAAUAAUUAAAUAGGAUUUAAUUGUAGAACAAUGGCAAAUUUAGAGUAUUUAUAUGGGAAAUAAACCUUAAAAUUCAGAAUUUUGGAGGAAGAGGACUUAAAAUUCGGAAUUUUGGAGGGAAAGGAUUAAAUAGUAAAGUAAGAGAAAUGUGGGAGUAGUCAUUAAGAAAAUUUCCCAAUUUUUAAAUUUCUAGUGGGUGGUUUCAAUUUUAAAACUAAUAUAUCUAGCCCACUUUUUACACAUUUUACAUCAGAUUAGAGAGCUUUAAAAUUCGUUUUCUUUGCAUGAUUUUAAAGAUUUAUCAUUAGAGAAUAGAUCCAACCAAUUUCCUUCUCAAAAUACUCUCAAUUCACCUUAAAUUAUGCUCAAAAGUAGCAAAAAAUAUUCUGAAAGUUCUCAAGUUUCUUGAAUCAAGAUUUUCAAUUAAUGAAUUUAGAGCGAAUGAAAGGUAAUCUUCAAUCCUGAACUUAUUUUUAUGAUGAUUAGAAAUAUUUUUACAUGAUUUGAGAGUCAAUUAAAUGAUUUUUAUCAAUGUCAUCUUCUUCUAAGAACACAUGGUUCUUUAAUGGUGGAUCUUGAAUUUUGAGAGGAAAUCCACAAAUCAAUGGAUGUUCUAACUCAAAAUGGAUCUAUUAAAAGGUUUUUUAUCUUAUUUAUCAAGAUUAAACAUGAUUUGUCAGGUAAUUUAAAGAAAUUUGAAUUUCAUCAUCUUCAUGAACCAAUUUUUCAGAAUUUUGUAAAAUUGAUUUAAAGAUGAAAUUGAUACUUAGUAUAAGUGUAUUUGAUAUAGUAUUGAUGACUGAAAGUGUUUAGGAGGGUUGGAGAGAUCGGUUUUGUGAGGAAUCGAGUUUUCGACUUGAUGUUAUAAAUCUGAUAAGGUAUCUUUAUGAGAGGAUUUCGACUAGUAUAGUUAAUUAAAAUUUGUGUUUAUUAUAGCAUUGGAAACGUGGUAAUGUCUAUUUUACCUUUGUUGAAGCUCCGAAUCUUGAAGAGGACUGAGCUAACUGGAAUUGAAGCUUGGAUUUGCUAGGUUGAUCACUUGUUUGUGGUAGAAUAAAUUGUGUGGUGAGUGUUUCGAAGGGCAAUUUGGUAAAUUCACCCUCAUUUAUGUUUAAUUACUAGCUUAAUUGAUGAUUUCAAUUGAUUAAUUAUGUUUGAAUGGCUUGUUUUUUCAAGAUUGAUAUUAUAUGUGCAAGAGUUGAUUUUUUAUUGAAUAAUGGUAAGUAAGAAUUUAGGUGGUUUUGUGCAAUUUAAUUAGGCUAAUUAUAUUGAUGAUUAGAGCAUGGUUACUGGAGUUUUUUUAUUAUGAUAUAUUGGUGUUACAAUUGGUAAUUGAACAUUGGAAAAUGACAAAUGAAAUGCUUGGUUUAAUUGGAUGUUAAAUGGCUAUGUUACAUGUUACACAUAAACAUUUUGUCACAUUAAAUUAAACACAAUAAUGAUUUAUUUAUAUGCUAUGUUUGACUGAAUAUAUUGGCAACAUGCAUGGUGGAUCCAUUGGAUAUAGUUGGCAUGCCAUAGGAUUUUUGAGUACUCACCUUUAUUUGUGACAUUGUGAGCAUAUGGCUCUAGGUGGACUGAUUUGUUUGGAGUAGAUAAGGGAGUGUUGAGCAUGAGUUUCCACUUAUUGGGUUAUUUGAGGCACUAUAAGGGAGUGUGUGCUUCAACCCGUUCAACUCGGUGAACUGUAUUUAAUAUUUGUGAGAGUUCAAAGAUCCACUUAUCCAAUGUAUGAUCACCCAAUUAAGCCAUGAGAAGUGUAUGCCAAUAUAUUUAUUUGUGAUUAUUGUUAUAUCAUUCGAUGUUUGUAAGCCAUGAAUAAUUGAUUCUUGAUAUUGAUAAAGCAUAUGGAAAGUAAAUUGACAUGUUUUAUUAUUAUGGAUAAUAAUUGGUGAUUGAUUGAAUGUGAUUUAAGCAUGGUUUGGAUGAUGAUUUACUAGGUUUUUAUUAACAUUCACUGAGCUUUUUAAAACUCACACCCUCACAAUUUGUGCAGAUAAUCAUCGGACUUGAGGAGCUGAGGAGCCGAGCAUGAGAGUUCCAAGAGAUUAAGGCUUGGUAGAGACUUUAUUUCAAGUUUUAGAUAUUGUAAUCGGGCAUUGUGGAACUCCCCUAAGUUAGUUUAAUUUUGGUUGUAAUUGGACAUUGGACAUUUUAUUUUGGAUAGUUUUAUAAUAAUUUUGAGGCUUGCUUGAGUUUAAUUAUUAAAUGAUUUAUGGUGUAUUGUUGCUUGAUAACACGAUGAUUGAUAAUACGGUGUGUGAGACAUGAAAUUUAUACUAAUGAUUGUUUAAAUGAAGCUUCCAUGGAGUGGUUUACUAGCGACUAAGGUAUGCCACUUGUUUGAUUUAUCCAAUGUUUGUUAUGCAUGAAAUUGAUUGCCUAAUUCUAUAUAAUUGAGGCUUAAUUGAUGUCAAUAAAUUCAAUUGAAGGUGUAUGUACAUGUAUGUUAAUUAAUCAUAGUUAAAUUGGUUUAAUUGGCCAUUAAAAUAUACAAAAUCAGGUUUUAAAAUUAUUUUUUCACAAAAAUAGGUGUAGUGGUUUCCACACGGGCGUGUGAGGGGCUGCACACGGGCAUGUGGAGACUAGAGCUAUCACACAUGGGCAUGUAGGAUUUCCACACGGAUGUGUGCAAUCGGUCUAAAAGUUUUUCACAAUGUGAAUACGGUCGUUUAAUGACACACCGUCUGGGGGACACGGCCAUUUGGGUUUUGGGGGGUUUGAACUUUUUUCUUUUUAAAUUUUUAUUCUAACUUGUUUAAGUUGCAAUUUAGUAUUGAAAAUUGAUUAGUCUAAUUAGAGCCUUAGAUGAUAAGAAAACUUGGUAAAAUUUUAGGUUUAGUUUCAUAAUGGGUAAAAUUCGAUAGAAACACAGUUAAUUUAUAAUUCAGAAUAGGUCCUAGUAGUUUGUAAUUGUUACAAUUUAGUCCCUAAUAAUAAAACUUAAAUUAGACAUAGUAAAUGAACUCAAAUUAAGAUAAAAUUUUUAGCCUUGCAUAAUUUGACUAAAAGAAGGGUGGUAAACACUUAGAUCUAAAAUCAGGUUAGUUUUACCAUAAGUGGUAAAAUGACGAAAAUGCCCUUAGGUUAAAUUACCUAGGAAAAGUUUAAAAUUGGCUCAUAAUUUGCUUCUGUAUUAAUAAAUAACUAAUAAUUAGAUAAUAUUGAGGUGUUAUAAGGUCGGGGUGUGUCCUGGGUGGUCGUUAGUCGGAGAGUCACUUAGGUGGCUAAUGUAAUGCUUCGAAUUUGGGUUGGUCCGUCCUGAUUAGGUUUGGGCUGUCAUACCACCUACUAGAUGCAUUUAUCAAUACCAUAAAAUAUCUGAAUAGUCCACGUGAUGGAUGAAUGGGCCCAUAUAUAUCACGUUAAAUACGUUCUAGAAAUGCGAGAGAUUCAAUCCCAACUUUAGCUGGUGAUGGUCUAAUAAUCAAUUUUCCUUGAGAUUAAGCAACAUAAGAUAAAUCCUUGAAUUCAAGAAUCUUCUAGUUUUUUAAUAGGUGUCCAAUUGAAUUCUCGAUUAUUCUUUGCAUCAUAAUAGAUCUGGGAUGGCCUAAUCAGUCAUGGUAAAUACUAAAAGUAUGUGGUUCUACAAACUUCUGGUUUGUAGUAACAUGUGUCUCAAUUGCACUAAUAUGUGUAUAAUAUAAAUCUGAUGAAAAAUCAGGUAGUCUUUCCAAAACAUAUUUCUUUUCAUAUUCAACAUUUGUAAUAUAUAGAUAUCCAAUAUUUUUCUCAUUCAUAGUAUCAAUAUGAUAUCCAUUAAGAUGAAUAUCUUUAAAAUUCAAUAAAUUUCUUUGAGACUUAGUGAAAUGUAUAGCAUCAUUAAUGACAAAUUUUGUGCCUUUAGGUAAUAAUAUAAUAGCUCUCCCAAAGCCUUCAAUAAGUUUUGAACUACCCGAUAUUGUAUUAACAUGGCCAUCACUUAUUGUCAAAUGAGAAAAUUAUUUUUUAUCUUUGAGUAUCGUAUGUGUUGUAGCACUAUCAGCAAGACACAUGUCUCCAUUAAUUUUGGGUCCAACGAAAUUCUAUUGACUAUUCAUAUUCUUCAUAAAAAUAAACAAAAUAUAAUAUGAGAAAUGUUGCAAAUAUUUAUUAAAUAUAUAAUUUAUUCUUUAUGGAAGAAAUUAAAGCAAACUUAAAACAAAAUAAAAAUGUCAAAAUAACAUCAACUUUUCUAAUGAUUCUCAAAGAAAUCUACCACAUCUAGGUGAGUUAUAUUAUUAAGGUCAUGAAAUUUAUCACCAUCAUAGGCAUGGUCAGUUUUAGUAUCAUAGUGAAUAUGUUCAUUUUUUGCCUCCAUUUCAUCAUUUUGGGAUAUAAAAUUUUUCUUCAUAUUCUUUCCCUUCUUUAUAAUGGAUGCUUGAUAAAGUUUCACUAAAUACUCAAACGUACGACAGGUACAUGACCAAUGGCCCUUCAUACCACAUCGGUAGCAUAAAUUCUUAAUAAUCUUUGAAGGAUUAUUUUGACCACCUCUUUCUUGUCCUUCAUUGUUGUUCUUUUUCUAAUGGUUAGAAGUAUCACUGUUAUGACCACCAUGAUAACGAUUACUAGUAUGUCCUCGACCACGUCCCCCACUACAUCCACGACCGCGACCUCUAUAUUUUCCAUUUUCAUAAUUAUUGUGUACUGCUACAUUUAUUUUAGGGAAUGGUGCAGAACCAAUAGGACGAAUUUCAUGAUUUUUCAUUAACAACUCAUUAUUUUGUUGAGGCACCAAAAGGCAUGAAAUCAAUUUAGAAUACCUUUUAAAACCUUUUUCACGGUAUUGUUGCUACAGGAGCACAAUUAGUAUCAUAAAAGGUUCAAAAUGUUUUCUCUAACAAGUCCUCAUUAGUUAUGUUUUCUCCAUAUAAUUUUAGUUGAGAACUAAUUUUGAAAAGUUCUAAAUUGUAUUCACUUACAGUCUUAAAAUCUUGCAACCGUAAAUGCAUCCAAUCAUAACAAGCUUUAGGGAGUAUAAUCGUUUUCUGAUGGUCAAAUUGUUCUUUCAAAUUAUUUCACAACACAAGAGGGUCUUUCACAAUGAAAUAUUUCACUUUUAAUCCUUCAUGUAGAUGAUGACAGAUGAAAAUCAUUACUUUUGCCUUGUUUUGAUUAGAUGCUUCUUCAUAUGCUAAUAUAGUAUUUCCUAGACCUUUAGCAUCUGGGUGAAUUUUAACAUCUAACACCCAUGACAAAUAAUUCUUGCCUAAGAUGUCUAAAGCCACAAAAUCAAGUUUGGCAAGAUUUAACAUUAUAAUCACUUAAACCAAAAUAAAAAAAUUAGUAAAAUAAUAUGCAUUCUCAAACGUAAAAUAAUCCAAUUAUAUAUACCAAAUUUGCGAAAUAAUAAUAUGUACGUCAAAUAUUGGCAUAGAGAGGAAUAAUCAUAAUAAUAACUUAAAACAAAUUGCAUUAAUUGAAAUUUCUUUUAGUAAAAAAAAUUAUAUAUGAUUGUCAUUAUAACAUUUGAGUUGUAAAAAUAAAUGUGCAAAUGUUACCCAAAGCAAAUAUUUCAUCUAGAAAGUAAAAUAAAAUAAUGAUAAAAAUAUGUAUACAAUAUAUAGUUUAACGGGAGUUAUAGGGCAAAUUAUAUAAAGGUGAAAUGACGUGAAACUCACUAUGAACUUGUAGAAGCUCGUGCUAAUAACAUGUUAUAGAAAAAUUAAUAAAACAAUAAUAAUAAGUAAAAGGUGGAUGAAAAAUACAUGAGAAUUUUCAUUACUUAAUUUUCUCUUACAACAUGCUAUUUAUAAGCUCCUUUACAUUCAAUUAAUAAAUGUAUUACAUUCAAUCAAUAAAUGUGAAUUAAGUUUUCUUAAUUACUCCAUUUAAUCAUCUCAUAGUUAUAAAUGAAGUAGAGAAUUUUACAUCAUUACUUUAAUAAAUGUUUAAAGGGACAUAAGAAAAUAUAUAUAAAUAUUUAAGCAUGCAUGCAUGUAUAGUUGAUAUAUAUGUUAUACUAAAAGGCAAAAUAAUUUUAUUAAUGGAAGAGAUGAGUACAGAUGCUUUUUGUAAUAGUGGUGAGAAAAAACCAAUUAUAAUUUAUUCAAACCAAACCACAAUCUAUUUAUUUAAUUAUUUUUAUUUCAUUACAUAAAAAUAAAUCCUCUAUUUCUAAAUUAGCAAAAAUAUAAAAUAUUAAAAUAUAAUUCUUGCAGAACUUUAAAAACCAAUCAACCAAAUCACAAAUUUGGCCUGCUUUUUAUCUUGUUUUUAGAAAAUUAGAAUAUUGCAAAUUAACCACAACUUUUAUACAAAGUUGAACCAAAUCAUCGCCACCCGUAAAAUACACACCCAUCAAACGAAUCUAGCCACAACACCACCUAAAAACAUUUACUCCCCCAAUGCAAAACCUUCUUUAAUUCUUAGCAGAAACAACAAAAACUUCAUUGCCACAGUAUAUCAACCACCAUGAAAGCCAAAGAGGUGCCCAAAUCUUGUAUAUAAGAUCAAACAUGGUUAAGUGAUUAGAUAAACACUUUUAACUGCCUAGGAACUGUGCCAUGAUUAUUAGACCGCUAUGAAGAUGAGAGCUGAAGGGAAUGGGCCAGCUUGCAGGCUGUUUAAUGAAGCAAAGAAGGACUACACUGGUGAGCUAAGAACAGACAGUACUGCUGAGCUGGAAGAGAUGGACGGCAAAGGAAUUUAGCUAAGAACUCAGUUAUGAACGUGGACAAUUGAAUUGGUUUACAGCUGUAACUCUAUUAUUACUUUUUAGAGAUUGCCCACGGCAUAUGUCCAGUGAACUAUGAAUUUUCAUAUGUUUUCGGAAUGAAAUAAUCUUUCUUACCUCAGUUCCCUACUCUAUCUGAUCUACAUUCACUCCGGGAAAGAGUAAAACUCAGCAAUACAAAUGGUGGAAGGCACGAAACUAAAUACACUGCAGGAGCAGAUUCAAAGUUUGAAGAGGCAGAUGGAAGCAAUGGGAGCUGCAGAGAACACUGUGCCUAAAUGGUGGGAGGAGCUGCGCAUUGGUAUUGAAGCCAAGCUUCGGAAGAACCAGACUUACAUGACCAAGAUGUUGAUUUUUUGGAUGAAAAAUUUUAAAAUACUAAAUCUUAUAUGAUUAAUUAAAUUUAAUAUUUUGAAUGAUACAAAUUAAAAUCAUUGAUUGUGAACUCAAAUUUAAUUUAAUAAAAUAUGUAGGAAAUGGAUGUUUCAAAUGCAUAUAUUUAAUUUCCUAUUUCCGUUUUUUACCGUUAGUUAGUUUUUUGUUUUUGGUUACUAGAAAACAUAUUUCAUGAAUCAUGCAAUCUAUUUGCAAACUUAGAACAUCAUUAACAUUUAUUUAUGAAUUAUGUACUUCUAAAUGUUCACUAUCUCAUUGUCUUAAACUCAAAUGAGACAUUGCAAGUUAGCAUUUUUCCCUUAACGCAGAAGUUUUAUUGAAACUCAAAUAUCUCCGGAAAAAAAUUAGCUCAAAAAUGAAAAGAGACAAAAAUAUAAAAGUACAUAAAUAUUUCUAUACUUACAAAUAAAAGCAUAGUAUACAUUUUUUCAUUAGAACACAAAUAAAAGCAUAGAAUACAUUGAAUUUUAACAUAAUUAAAUAGACAAACAUGAAGAAAAUACAAAGCUCCCUCCCCUUGACUGCAUAUUGAUCUAAACAUACAUAUUCAUAUCAAAAUACAUGAAAGGAAGCUGUCACUUUAUUCAUUAAAUAGAUGCUUCAAGUAGCGAUAACAAUAGCAGCAUGCGAUAUUGUUUAGUUUGCUUGGAUGAGGUGGGCGUCAAUGUCUUUGGAGAUAUCUUGAACCAAUUGCAGUAGAGUCUCGGGGUCCGCAAUCCCAUCGUGCAGCUUCUCGUAUUCCAAAGUCCAGUGCACUACGCUGCCACUAUCCUCGCUCUUGGGCGAAACUAGAAUCGUGGCUACG